UGAUCAAAAGAUUUAGAUUUUGUUUAAUUUUUGAAAAGCAAAGAUGCAUCUCUCUAGGAAGAGAGAUCACAUGCCCCUCUCUCUCCUUCUUCCCUAUCAUUCAAACUCCUAUGCACAAUCCCUAUGCUAAACUCCAACUACUUCUCUGCAUCUCCCAUCUCCUCCACCCCAAAACCAGCCAGAUUUUAUAUUUCUCAAUUUUUACCACCCUAUCAAUCAGCUCAACAAUGUCCUAGCCUUACCCUAAAUAGCUAGAUUCAACCAUUUACUUGCACAAAGGUUUUCAGAUCCCUUGAAGUUGAAAUAUAAAUUUCAAAUACAUGGACUAGCCUCAUCUACAUCUCUAAUUCUUGCCCAACAUCUCUUUACUGCAGAAAAAUAUUCAAAUUCAAUCACAAAUAAUUGGAUUUCCUCCCUACUCUACUUAUCUUUUCUAUCUCCUAUAAUUUUUAAAGAGAUUAUGAUUAUUUUUCUUAUUUUAUUGCUUGAGAUCUAAAUAGUGCAUUUUAAAAACUAGUUGUUCCUUCAAUGUUCACUAUAAAUAGCGCCUCAACUAUUCUCAAUAAGGAAGGGAAGAAAGGGAUCAAAAGAGGUUAGAAAAGGUGAAAAAAUGAGUGGAAAAUAGUGGAUUUUAGGAGUGAUAGAGGUGAGAAAAUCACAAGAAAAAAUAGAAAAAAGUAGUCUUAAGAAUCAAAAGUUUCUUUUUAGUUUGGGUGAGAAUUCAGAGUUGAGUUUUAGCCAUCGGAGUUUUCACGUUGGCGCCCAGUUUGCUUCACAACACAAGGUACGAUUCGUCUUUUUGGGUCACUUCCAUCUCUCUUUACCUUUCUAUUUGGGUCUGUAAGCAUGUUGUUUAGUUCAACUUUUGUCAAAUUUCAUAUCGAUGUGGUUGAAAAUAGACUCAUGCACAAGUUUUGAUCAAGUCUAAAUAGUUGUAGAUUCAAAAAAUCAGGUUUGGAAGUGAAUUUUUAUGUUGUUUAUGUUGUCAUUAGUUUUGAAAAUUUGACCAUGAUACUGUGGAAAACACGUUGGUGUGAAAAUCACCUUAUUUUUCUUAAAUUAUGUAUUUUUCAAAGUACGUAUAUGUGAGUUUAUAUUGUUGAGAACCACCCUUUUCAGUUUGUUUUCAUCUUACUUUUCUUCAGCUCUUUUCUGUUAAACAUGGGGUUCACUUUGAUUUCUUCUUUGUGUUGUUAUUUUGGUCUUGCAAAUAAAUGAUAUAAUUUUUUAAUCUGAAAAAAUCAUUUGGUGGAUGAAUACAUAAAUGUGUAAAUAUGUAUUUAAAUGUAUUAAUUUUAUGUAAGGCUACAGAUUAUUGUAAUCUUUCUCAAAAUUGGAUGAGAGAUGUAUCUUCAGGGCUGAAAGCUUACUACUACAGUUACUUGGGUCUGCGAAAGCAUCAAAGAUGGUUAUGUAAAUAAUUGAAGAGUAAUUCCUAUCUCGUUUUGAUGAGAUUAUCAUCUCCUUUUUUUGUGCGCGUAUGAAAGAAGCCCAUUUCGAUAUACAUUUCCACUUUUCUCGCUUAAAAUCCAUGUAUCUGGUUAAUGUUUUUCUUUGCUCUCAUUGGAAGUCUGGAAUCUGGUUUUGGUGCUUGUGAUUUUUAUUUCUUCUAUUCUCUAGAUUAGUAAGGAAAAAAUUCAACCAUGAAAAUUUACUUUCAUUUUGCGGCUGCUUUGACGUCCAAAUAAGUGAUGUUACAUGAAUUUUAACCCUUUAUUUUACUUUGUUGGACAUGGGACUAAUAUAGUUGGAAUCAUCUCCUCAAUUAUUAUUAAGUGUAAAGACUAAUCCUAGAGUUAAAAGUUUGUCUUCUUCACAGAUUCAGAUUCAUAAGUUUUUUCCCUUCAUUUUCGUGGUUCUACAUGAUGGUCUAGUGUUGGUUAGUGUUGAAAUGUGACAGAACUAUGAUUUACUAAAUUUCGUUAAGUCUUAAUUUGGUUCAUUUACAUAUUAUCCAGUUAGAGAAGGGUUUUCUUUUCCCCUUUUAUCACCUUGAAUUUGAUUUAGCCUAGAAAUCAUACAUAUUAAUACUUGUAUCUUGGGUCAUUCUUUGUAACUAAGCUUAGAAUUGGAUUUUGAUAUUUAUUUUUGUCUAAUACAUGGCCAUUUUGAAUAUAUAAAAUAUGAAACUCAAUUUUUAGUUUCACUUUACUAUAAAUUUGAGUUUGAGAAGAUGUGUGAAUUGAAUGUUUUCCUAUGUUCUUACAUUCAAGCAUGCCUACAAUACUGUGUAAGGUUUGUUUAUAAGAUCUCAGUCAAAUAAGUUUAAAAGACCACCUGAAUGCCUUUUCUUUCUUAUGCAUCUCUCUCAAUUUCUCUCAAAAUUCUCUAAAAUUUAUGGCUUUGCAUUGCAUAUCCAAGUUUCAUUUCAUCCCUUUUGCAUUAGUUAGUUUGGUAAGUUGUCUCAACUCUCUUCAUUUUGAUACAAUUGCAUGCUUAGAACGUGUAGUUUAGGUAAAGACUUAAGUUAAUAUUUUCAUGGCAAAAUGUAUGCUUGUUGAUAAUUAUUAUGUGGUUAGUUGUUGUUGGUGGUGUACAUACUCAUAAAAAAGUCUUGAGUACCCAGAAUUAGGCCUAAAACUACUUGAAUAGAAGUGUGCACCAUGUGUUUGAUUUACUGCCCCAAAGAGUUCAAUUUAAUUUCUUUCAAGUCUAGGGCCAUAAUCAUUCAUUCUAUGCUUAAAUUCUCGAUGUAUGAUGUUGGUAUGCCUAGUUUCAACAAAGAAUUGUGAUUAAAAUUGUCUUUUGAAGAGUGUGCAGAAUAUUUCGACUAAGGUCUCAAGUAUUGCGAUCGCGGUCAAUGAUCUGCGAUCAACAUACCCGAGGGCAGUGUCUGCAGGAACCAAAAAUUUCUAUACAUCCAAUUCUACCCCCAAAACCUUUUGUAACACUACCACAUGUAUUUAUCUUUUUGAUCUAGCUUGUUUUUGGUAUAAUUAUACUAAUAAUGGCCAAAAGGGCAAUGUUUAUAGGUUCUAAGCCUUAGAGAUAGAAGAAUUUGACAACAUCAGUUUCAUGGCCCCAUAAUUCUAGGACAUCUUCUACGCAGAUAUUCACAAAACUAAGUUACUCUCUAAAAGGGAUAUCAACUUAGACAAGGUAGAGGAGAAGCUCCUAGGAUUCCAUUCUAGACUCUCUGAAAUCGGGUAUAGGAGCUUUGCCCCGGACCCCUACAAAGAAAAUGAGUAGUGGGUACAGGAGUUCUAUGCCAACCUAAGCAUAACUUCUUUCACAAAUUCAGUAAUGACUAUUAGGGGAAAUCAAGUGAAUUUUGAGACAGAGAGAAUCAACGAGGUUCAUGGACUCCCAAAUACUAACAUGGAGAAGUUUUAUGCAAAAUCAUGUGAGCUAGGGACCUGGAUAGAAAAUAUUUUAUGUCUUAGCAAAAAGGUUCCCUCGGCCACUACCAAUAGAGAUAUUCUUAUGAAUAAAUUUACAUUUGAGGCCAGGCUUUGGCUGAAUAUCAUCUGUAGCCAAGUAUUACUAUGCACUCACAUGACCAUUGUUACAAACUUGCUAGCUUAGAUGGUGACCUAUUCUAUCUAUGACAUCGCCCUAAAUAUGGGCGAGAUUGUGCGCUCAGAGUGGAGGUACUUCAGAAAUUAUGGAGGUACACAUCUUCUCCUUCUUUCUAUUAUCAUAGAGCUAUGCAUGAGGGCACAAGUGGAGGAAUAUGCUAUAGAUACUUGGGUACUCCCAGGUCCUCGCAUCUUUCAACACAAGUUCAGGGGUGAGGGUGACCCAAGUCAGAGAAAAAAAGGAAAGUUGACUCUGACAAAUCAACCUAAGAGGAAAUAGACUCUUGUAGACCUUCAUCUGUCAACUCUCUCAAUAACAUAUGAGGUCAGAUACAGGCGGUUAGGGAGCUAUUAUCAAAAUUGCCUCAGGAAUGGGGAGAGCCAUCUACUACUCGCCACUCGUACGUAGCUCAGUCGGACUAUGAGAAAUAUUAGAAGUAAAAGAAGUAGGGAGACACUAUCACCUUUUUGGAGAGAGCUUAUUCAACCUUAGCUACGUCAUAUAGGGACUUCAUGGAUUCAUAUAAGAAGAUAGUAAAGAGAGAGAAGAAGAGAGAUAAAUUCUUCAAAAGUUGGGGAAGGGGAUGAAGGGCAUCUUCAAGGUUCUCAAGCCUAAUCAUUGACUACCUUUACGUAAGAUUGACCAUGAAGAUAAGGCCCUUGCUGAUUGGUCUACCGAUGUUGCUAAUGGUGAUGGUUCAGAUUUAGUAGGAGAGAGCAACUCUUGAUGCAGAUUCAGGGAGACCCUCUUACUCUUUCGUUAUUCCACACACAGUGAGGACACUACAGUCCUUUUUAGUUGGGGUUGCCCCAAAUUUGUAUUGUUGUGAUGUUGUGUUGCUGUAUAUUUUAUAUUUUUGUUGUUGUUUUGGGAUGCCAUUUUAGAUAUUAUUUGGGUUUUGUUUUGAGAUGCUACAUUUUUGGGGACUCUAAUUGUGCCCAUAUUUUAUGGAUUAUCCUAUUUUUUUUUUGUUUUUCUUCUUUCUAUAGUUUUAUUUAAAUUUUGAUGAUACAUGACUAGCUUUGCCCUAUGAUUGAUUAAAUGACAACAUUCUUAAGUGUAAAGCAUCAUGAUUGGGUUUUGAGACAUAGACGUAGGGAAAUUUNNNNNNNNNNNNNNNNNNNNNNNNNNNNNNNNNNNNNNNNNNNNNNNNNNNNNNNNNNNNNNNNNNNNNNNAAUUUUGAGUUCUUAUGGCAUUGUUUAUUUGGGAUCACAUUAUACACCAUUGGCAAAGUCUGAGUAGCCAUAUUAGUGGUUUGCCCAUUUUGAGCCAAAAUAUGAGGCUAAGGCUUUGGUUGUUGCCACAGUAUAGCAAAUUAUGUGUGGUGCUAAUGUAAAAUGAACAACCCCCUCCAUCCAAAAUUUUUCAAAAAUAAACAGCAUGGACAUGAAUAAUUUUGUAACAAAACUUUUUAUCUAUUUUGUUACUCAAUAAAUUUUUGACUUGUGAAUAGAAAUAAAUACUCCAAUUUUCUCUCUAGCGGGAGGGACAUUUGAACACCCUUGGCUAAUUUUGCAUGCCAUGUGUGGUGAUCCAUUUACAUUUAUAGCUUGUAUACUUGUGUUAUCUAAAAGUUUUCCCAUUAGUCUUUCAAAGAAAAUUUUGAUUGUAGUUGGUUGGAGAAAUGACCUUAGGCCAUCUUUAUGACUUUGGAAUCCACUCUAGCCUAAAAAGUCUACCUGUGCAUAAAGUUAAUCCCUAGUUAGCCACUUUGAGCAUUUGGACCUUUCUUUGACAAACUCAUUACAAACCAUGAACCAUUCUUUUUAUUCCUCUUUUGAAUCGUACCCUUCUUAAACUUGAAAAUGCAACUCGAGGCUAAAAGCCUAAGUUGGGGAUGGUAAAGAUUGACGCAAGUAAGUUUGGGUCCACAAAUUCGCAAGUGAAAUACCUAAUGAGCCUUAGCAUUAAAAAUAAAUGAAUAUAAAAAAAAUGAUAUGACAAAGGAAUAAAUUACAUGUAAGCUGCAAGAAAAAUAAAUCAAAGAAAAUUGGUAAACAAUGGAAGCAAAAAAUAGGCAUGAGAAAAGAGAGAAAAAAAGGAGUGGCCCAUAGUCAAAAAGGUUGAUUAAAUAGUGUGAUAUAGAUGUUCAAAGAAGGGCAUAGCCAUGUUUUCCUAAAUAAUAUCGUACCAUAGCCCGAACCUAUGUUACAAGAUUAGAAUGUCCUUUGAGAUUUCCAACCAUUUACUUUCUUUAUAGUGACGACUGAAAGUAGGGGAAAUCCUAUGGUAUGACACUCGUUGCAUAGAGAUUUCUUAUUCGAGGGAGAGAGUUUUUAUACUUAAUAGUCCUUCUUGCAUAUUUGGUAUCUUGGUGUAUGGAAUUCUCUUUCUUUGAGGUUGGCAUAUGAAAUAAGUUGAGGUGGGUAAUUUCGUCACCUCCCAAGGAAUGAAGCAAGUGGUGUAAAGAUUAGUUGUGGUUAAAAGGGAGUCACUUCUAGAGUAUUAGUUUUUGUUGCUUGGUUUCUCUUUGAAGUCUUCUGUACCCUUAGAUAUGGCAUUUCAUGACGAGUGGUGUAGUGAAAAUUAUCUCAGCACAUUUGUAAUGAGUUACUUAUUAUAGUGACUAAGAUUAAAGUCAUUGUGAUCUUUAAGGCGUGAAGUUUGGGCAUCGAUGAUUUGAAUGAAACAUAAUUGUGCUUAAAUGCACUAAGAUCCACACUUUGUAGGUAUAGAGUUGAUGAGAUAGAAUGAUGUAGAUUGGAGCUUAAAAUGAUCAAAAGGAUGCAAGAGAAGUGAAAAUGAAGACCUAGAGUAGAAUGGCCGCAGUUACUGAGGUCGCGGUCUGGUAACCGCGAUCGCGACAAUCAUGUGCGGUCAAUCAACCACGGUCAUGUGAACUGCUAGCGGUUGUGGUAGCUGUGGUUGUGGCCAAGCUGGUAGGGUCGCAACUUAGCGGAAGAUUGCAGCCCAAGGGAAAAACUAGAAAUACACAUGGCUGAUCCCAAUUUUGACAAAAAGGCUCAAACUUUAGAAUUAUUCAUCAUAUUCCAUCUUUCCCAAAUAGUUAGGUUUUGUUCUUGAGUUGAUCACCUCCAUUGUUAGAGAAGAAAAUAUUGUAUAGUUUUUGGGUGAAUAAUACUUUGGAGACCUUCUAAGUGGAGGAAUAGCUCACUUCUAUUGGAGAUUUUUGGGAGUUCAAAGUUUUAGGAAACAUUCACUUUAGCUUCAAUAAACCAUUUUAAUGGAGUUAUGGAAAUAUAUUUGCUUAUUUAUCUUAUGUGUAGGAUCUACCUCUUGGCGUUAUGUGUGAAUAAUGAUUUAAGUGUGCGUGAUUUGGUAUUGUUAUCUUCUAUUUGGUUGUUCAUGUUGAUAGAUUUUAUCAUUGCUUGACUAGUUUGUUUGGGAUUUGUGGGCGAAAGCCUUAAAUAACCAUAUGGGUUUGAUGGGUGAAAGCUCUGAACUCUAGAAAUUUCAAGGCCAUCUUCAAAAGAAGGUUUUUGGAUGAAUUUUAGGAAUCCACAUCAUCCUUGAAAGAAGGAUGUAGAGACCAAAGCAAUGAUAGACAAUUAUGUGUAUAGUUUGCUAAUCUAUGACUAUCUUAGACAUAAGAGUGGUUGCGAAGUAGACUAUACUAUGAGUAUUAUCCUAGAAAUAGGGAUUCCUAAAUUAAGGUUUGGUUACCAAUUGUUGAGCACACAUACUUGGUAUUCGAAAGAAUCAAUGGGUGCAAGUUUGGGGUUUUGCUAAAAGACUAGCUUCAAAGCCUAUAACCGAAUCUACCCACACUUGAUCUAAUAGAAUAAAGUUAACUAUUAGCAUCCACAUGUCACCCCUUAUUAAUACAUAAUCCCAAGAUCCGUACCUAAUUGAUAAAACUCUAAUUAUUUGUAGUCCCGAAUUUAUACUAGAAAAUAGUAAAAAGAAACAUUAUUGUAGGUUCCUAUCUCCCCUAUUUGUAUCUUUUUGUACUAUUGGCUUGAAUUAUACUUAUAUCUACUAUUUUAAAUUAACUUGAUUUUCACUCACAUUGUUCCUCAUGGAUUCUACCCUGACUCUAAAGUUGGGUAAAUUUAUUGAUGACAACUGCCUUGCACUUAAAUUGACGUGUAAGUUGAGCGUUAUCAGACUGUAGUACGUGUUCACUAAAAAUGAGAUUAAUAUCAGGCAGAGAAGGUGACUUGAGUUUCUAAAGAACUAUGAUAUAAGUCUUCACUACCAUCCAAGUAAAGCUAAUAUAGUUGUUGAUGCUUUUAGCUGGUUUUCCAUGGAAAGCUUAUCACAUGUGGAUAAGUAUAAGUGGGAAUUAGUGAAGGAUAUUCACAAUUUCGCUAAUAUAGGAGUUCAUAUCUUGUACUCUAAAGAUGGUGGUGUGUUUGUGCAACAGGGGGUGCAAUCAUCUCUUUUUUCGGAAAUAAAAGAGAAAUUUGUAUUAGAUCUUCUUUUGGUGAAGAUCAAGCAUGAUAUAGGUACACAGAAGGUGCUAGACUAUGUGAUUAGCGGUGAUGGUAUCUUGAGGUACUGAGGGACAUUGUAUUUUCCCAACAUAGAUGUGUUGUGAGGAAGGAUUUUUUCCAAGGCCCAUGAAUCACAGUAUAACUUUUUAUCUAAGUGUAUGGUGUGUCAGCAGGUACAGCUGGAGUACAUGAAACCCGGUGGGCUACUUUAAGAGAUUAAAUUACUAGUGUGGAAAUUGGAUGUAAUUAAUAUGGAUUUCCUUACUGGUUUUCUGUGGUCAUGGAAUUAGCGUGACUCCAUUUGGUUCAUCAUAGAUAGGAUGACUAAGUCUACUUACUUUUUGCCAGUGAGGACAAAUUAUUCUAUCUAGGACUAUGCAAAGUUGUUCCUUCAAAAGGUUGUGAAGUUGCAUGGUGCACCGAUCUAGAUUAUUUUUGACCGUGGUACUCAAUUCUCAUCACAUUUCUUGCACUCUUUUCUACAUGGUUUGAAGAUUAAAGUGAGUCUUAGUACGACGUUUCACAUGCAGUCGGAUGGGCAAGCUAAAAGGACUAUUCAGACUUUGGAAAAUAUUUCGCGAUCCUGUGUGAUUGACUUUGGUGUGUAGUUGGCUCGAGCACUUGCCUGUCAUUGAAUUUUCCUAUAAGAAUAGUUACCAUUCUACUUUGGUAUGGCCAUAUUUGAGGUAUUUUAUGGAAGGAGUUGUAGAUAUCCUAUUGAGUUGUUCGAGGUUGGUGAAAGAGAAAUGCUUGGGCCAGAUUUGGUUCACCAAGCUAUGGAGAAAGUGAAGGUGAUUCGAGAUAGUGUUAACACCGCCCAAAGUCUCGAAAAGUCCUAUAUAGAUGUAAGGAGAAGGGACUUGGAAUUUGAGGUUGGACAUUGGGUGUUUUUGAAGUUAUCUCUCAUGAAGGGAGUGAUGUAAUUCAAGAAGAAUGGGAAGCUCAGUCCCCGGUAUGUUGGCUCGUAUUUGUAUAUGAGGAGAGUUCGUAGUGUUUCACAUGAGUCGGAUUUUCCCUCUAGCAUGACUUCCAUUCAUUCGGUAUUCCAUGUGUCCAUGUUGCGGAAAUACAUGGGUGAUCCUUCGUUGGUUUUUUCCUUAGACAACAUUGGUAUUUCGAAUUGUUUUUCCUAUGUGGAUGUCCCGAUGAGAAUCUUAGAUAGGAAAGUUUGUUGGUUGUAAAUGAAAGACAUAGCUUUAUUGAAAGUUCUAUGGCAGAACCAAGAAUCUGAGAAAGCUACUUGGGAAGCGGAGGAGGACAUGAAGUCCAAGUAUCCGUCCUAUUCCUGAUUUCGAAAAUUUGUGCUUGGGGUAUGUGUUGUUCCUAACAUCUUUGUUUUCCAACUUUGUUAAAGAAAAUAUUGAUUUCCUUAAUAUAUUUGUUUUAUAAAUUUGUUAAAGGUUUGAGUAGAGGUAUAAUAAGUCCAAUCAUGCUUGUGUUUCCUUGACCCAUCAUUCGAGGAUGAAUGAUCCUAAGUAGGGGAGACUGAAAUGGCUUGAAAUUUGGUCUUUGCAAAUUCUAAAGCCUUGAACUUUCUGUUCAUCAGAAGACUCACACCAAAAGUCAUAUGGUGUGGUGAUAGGUCUAGGGACCCUGGUCUUAUGUUGGUCAGAAUGUUUCUGACCAAGUUUUGUCCUAGUAAUGAGAGACUCCAUAUGAGUCGUAUGCUUAUGUAAUGAGAGAUUUAGGGUCAAAUAGUAUGUUGUCUAAUGUCUAGCCCUUAAUGUUUUACCUUGGAUACAACUUAAUGGUACUAGUCAUAUAGUAUGGUAGGGAAAUGGAGUUGUUAGUUGGACAGAAUGUGACGAAUUGAAGGUACCACUCAUAUGAUGUGGUGACGAGUUGGAUGGUCAACUCAUACCCACCUGCGAGUUUUCAGUGACUUUUAGGAUGAGGGUAUUUUUAACUUUUCCCACCCAAAGCCUUUAAGAACCGACAUCUUAUAAUACUUAUUGGGUAUUCGUUCUAUAUUUUAGAUGAUUAAAACACUCCCUAAACACUCUCUAAGAACCUCUCAAGAAGAUUGGGCUUGGUUUUAUUCAAGGUGGUCAUAUAGAAGUCUAAUGAUUAAAUUCUCUCUAUGAAUUAUUGUAACUCAGACAUGUGACUCUUUCUUCCUUGUUAGUUCACUAAAAUCAUGUGUUUUAAACAUUGUUCAUAAAUCAUUAAUGGUGGUUUUGAAAACCAUGGUUAAGGGUUUGAAUUCAUAAUCUUGAGUAUAGUUUUCUUAUGGUUUACAUUACGAUUAUACAUGUUUAGAUAAUCUUAAGUAUUGUGAUUUAAACUAAGCGGUCAUGGUUAACCCUAACUUUAUGUGUUUCAACUUGAAUAAUGGUUUGAUAAUGGUAUGCCCUCAACCUGUUUGAGAAAUUAUCUAUGAGAAUUAUUUUGUACAUGUUUAUUUGUGGUUGAACUAAGACAUUAGCCUAAUAAUGUAAGUGGUUGGUAAAUUGGUUUUAUGAAAACCUUGUUGGCCAUAAAUUGGUUUGAAUUGAUAAAUAAGCUCGAGUCCGUAAAUAUUGAAAAGAAUUGAUGUCUUUGCUUUUACAAUGGGUUCGAGUCCAAAAGUUGAUUAAUAAUGGUUAUGGUAUGUUGUACGAUUGCAAGUGGGGUGGGUAUGACGAUACCAAAUGAAUGCCUUUGGUAAGUAAUUUGAUUAAUGGUUGUGUAUAUGUGUAAUGAAUGUUUUAAUUGGAUUAUAAAGCAGGAUGUGUAGAAGGGCUAUGAAAGUGAAGUCUGUAGGACAAACACUGGAAACUACACUAGCUGGUCCGGGUGUCUAUAUGAUCAGGAUGUUUGAGUCUGCCAAAUAAAAAUAUGAAUGGGAGGUUCAAGUCCCCCAUAUUGUAUAUAUUAGUACUUAAGUCACCUUGAUUAUGACUGGAGGUCCAAGUCUCCCAUAAAGGCAUAUAAAGAUAUAGAUACUCUCUUGUUCAUGCAGCUAAAUACACUGGGGCCCUUCCAACUGGGGGAGAGCUGGGAGAACAUAUAGCUAUUGGGUGCCGUACUAUAUGAUGAUUAUUAUACAAAACCAAGAUUAAGAUUUUUUAAAUGCAAUUUAAGCCUUGUUUCCAUCCCAGCAUAAUAUAUAUGUAUGGAUUUAUAUGAUUGCAUAAGGUCAUUUGGCUUGGUUUUUAAUGAUGACAUUAUUUUCUUCUUCUAUACCUGAGUUGCAUGCUCACUCAAACUGCUAACCAUCUUCAGAUGUUAUAUCUCAAUGCAAUACAGGUGCCAAAAUUUUCUAUACUUUUCCUAUACAGUGAUCACGUGUUUGAGUGGUUUAUGAGUGGACAUUGAGGUGGUAAGAUUCCAUACAUCAGAAGGCUUCAUUUCAUGGUCUUAAUAUUCUAUGUCUCAGACUUUUUUUAGACUUUGUUUUGGUUAUUGUCGGGGCAUGUCCCAUCAUUUUAUUGACUUCAGAUUUUUAGAGGCUUUGUUGGAUUACUAUGCACAUGGGUGUGCUGUUUUGGUGGAUUGUCUCGGUGAUGAAUGGUUGUUCGGUUACUGGUGAUUGGCUCAGACAUUUCAUGGAUAAAUAUUAGUCUUAGUUUAUACUAUCUUGUUAUAUAUUAAAAUUCACCUGACACUUUAAGUUGUUAAGCUGACUAGGUUAGGUGAAGGAGGUGAUCUAUGGUCUUUGUGGGACAUGAGAUACUUAUUACAGCCAGGCCCUGGUUUGGGUUAUGACAUAAGCAUAUGUACAAAUUAUACUACCCUAAAAAAGAAAAUAUCUAGCAUAUUACUCAUAUGCCCUCACAAUAAAGAAGUCCCACUCACUCAUAUAAAAUCAUACAUGUCAAUACAGGGACAAUCAAGAGACACUCAUCCUCAAAAGAGAAAUUCCAAUCAAUGUGCAUCAAAUACCAUAGGCUUGCCCUUAUUUUUUACCUUAGUUUUCAAACAGUUAGGCUAGGAUCACUAUAGAAAUUGUCUCAGCUUAUAAUGUAGGCUUGGGGGAUGGAAUAGUACAUAUGGACAUAUCAAGUUACUACGCCUUCGUGUCACUACACUAACACUGGGGUCUCACUUAUUUACCAAUUUCCUUUUAUUCCACCCUUAUUUAUCCCCUUUUUCCUUUAUCGCAAAUUCAGGUAGGGUGUGGUCUUUUAUUCUUUCUUUCUAACUUAUUGAAAAUUUUCCUUUUCUUUUCCUUUUUCUCUUUCUUUUUACCACACACAACCCUACUAUGUUUUUCUCUUAUUUUAACCUUUUUCAUACCCAUUUAACACUAUGUACUUCUAUGAUAGCCUCCCUCAACUUAGGCAUUUUUCCUGAGUUGAGGUGCAUAAUUUCUAAGGAGAACCAGGGCCAAAACAGGUUCAUUGUAAUACAGAUAGGUAGGUGAAAGGUGUAAUAAAAACAAUAAGCUAUAAGGCUCAAAAUAGGGAACAAGGGAUACUAUUUCGCAUACAAAAGGACAUUUAGGAUAAAAGGGGACAAAAAAUAAAAAAACGGCCUAUAAUACCUUCCUAAACGACAAUUCUACAAUGUAGGCAAGAGUAACCGGACAAGUUCUAGAUUUCACACACAAAGGGAACUAAGUAGCAUCUCACACACAUGGCCCAAAGUCAAUAUUACCAGCUACUACUUUUCCGGUUCAUGUAAUUAAUAGCAAGUGAUUAUCAUGUCCCUAAUCCUAAUGCCCUAACAAGAUCCAAUAAUGUUCACACAUAUAUACGUUCAGACAGUUAUUACAACACACAUUUUUUGGAGGGGUGUCAUUUCUCAUAAAUCCAUAAAUACAUGAUAACUGCCCUAAAUACUCAAAAACUCCUAAUUACACAAAACAUAUCACAAUACAAUGUAAAACACCAUAUUACGCAAGUUAUCCUAGACAUGUCGAUUCUAAAAACAUAUCACGGUUGACAAGAAAAAAACCAUGACAACAAAAACCUAUGGCGGCUACGGUACAUCCCACCCUAACUAAUAAAUUGCACACAAUUCUCAAUGCACAAAAAUAAUAUAAAAUAGAGGAAAGUGAGAACAUAACUGGGAUACGCUAAGUGAUUGUAACGACCUGAAAUCACCUACCGGAACGUCACACAUUGCCUAGGGUCUCAAGUGACCCUAAGCUAACCCUUCUAUAGUUACAACUCAUAAGCAACGAAAUAAAAUGCAUAAAUCUAAAAGAAUAAGGUGGAAAAGAACUCUAAUACAAAUUUUCUCAAUACAAAUCUGAAGUCACAAGGCUACAACUCUGCUUUUACAAUAAAACUGAGACUCAUUACAUCAACUCCUACCGAUUAUCUAUGAAGUCUCUACUAGCACUGACCAUGGGUAACUGGGUUAUGACUCCCAACCACCCCAACUCAAUAUGACUGAAUAAGGAAAAUACAACACUUUCCUUUUAUAUUACUGACUUGUGGCCCUGAAUCAAAAGGACCCAUCACCUGAUGACUAGAAGCUGCGAACUGAUUGGACGUGGUACAUGCGCUACAAUCUUGUAGCUACAUUAUGAGACAAUGUAGCACAUAGACGUAUAUGUGAAUCAGUACUUUGAGGAUGUACUGAGUAUGUGGAAGUGAAUGCAUAUGUAUAAAAUAGUUUCAAUCUUCUUUAAUCAAGUCAUGCAUGCAAUAUGGGAUGACUAACAUGGCUUGAAAAAGUAUAAAAUGUAAAGCUCAUAAAUCAUGUAGAAUGAAACAUGUAACACAAUCUCAUGAGUGAUCAUUAUUUAACUUCAAAAUUUGAAACCUUCUCUUACUCUCAAUGCCUAAAGGCUAACGGAUUUCAAACCACACUUUCAAGUUAUGCAUAUAUCUCAAGAGAGUAAAAGUUCUUCAAUGCUCAACACUUCACAAUCAUUUAGAAUCUCAUAUACUUGAAAUUCGAAUUAAUAAAACUUGAAAACAUACUUCAAGGCAUUUCAUUCACUUUAGAAAAUAUCUUAUCUCAAAUCAAUACCUUGAUUAGGGAAUAUCUUUGCAAUUCAACCAUUUGGGAAAAUAGCUUAUAGGGAAGGAAAAUAAUAUUUAAUUUCAAAGUUCAAAAGGCAAGGGAGGUUCUCGUAACCGACAUAAACCAUGCGAGCUACAUGGAGUCCAACAUUUCGUCUUCGUAAAGAAGAGACCCCACGUUAGGAAGAGUCAUACUCUUUCCAAGGAGUAUAAUCUUGGUCUAGUGAUCACUAAACAAAAAUUGGUCUCAGGCCUACGUAAUAAAAUUGGCCUCAGGCCUACUCAUAAUCAUUAUAUAAUCUGCCUAAGGCUCAAAUCCAUCGGUGGCAUGUAGUUUUGGGGUAAGAAACCAUAGUAACUUACCCACUCGGUGCUAAAUACUACUCCCUUUAAAUUAUCUACGCUCAUCUAAAAAAAUCCACUUUUAGAAUAAUCACAUGGUUCACCACGAACCCAAUAAUAAAAUCGAUAAUCUCAUAUAGUGAAGUGAAUUUCAAAGCUCAAGAACCAUUAGGUCAAUUCAUUUCUCAAUCAUCUAGAAAUACUCAAAACAUGGGUGCUCAUAGUACAAGAGUUCAUAAUUUCAUAAGUCUCGAAUAGAGCUUACUAAACCAUGGUUCAAUUUCAAGUUAAAGCUUAUCAAAAGCAUAAUAUAUAGCAUAUAGAUUCAUAAAUCAUGUAGAAACCUGGAACUUUCAGCAAUUCAUCUCAAAAUCUUAAUGUAGUCAUAUGCUUCAAUAUCUCAACAUUUCAGAUAUAAGCUUCUCAAGGAGUAAAGUCAUGGGGUUUAUCAAGCUGUAAAAACUAAAGAAAAGAUGUAGAAAUCAUGCCAUUUAACUCUCAAUUCAUGAGAAAUAUCAACAUAAUGCAUUCAAUGAUUAUGUGUGAAAACCCCAAUUCAAACUUAUGUAAAAACCCCAUAAUUUCAGCAAAAUCAUGAUGUAAAUAAACAUUUUGGGCACAAGGGUGAAAGGGUUACCCUUGUUGAAAACCCCACAUAUCUUGAAUUUGAAGCUUUAGAAGAAUUCUCACUUUUGGAACUCUACUGUUGCUCUAGAAUGAGGAUUCUUGAGAUCCUUCACUUGGGAACCUAGAAUCUUGACUCAAUUUAGAAAAUCCAUGGUGGAUUCUUAAGAUUUAUGGAAAAGGUUUUAAGUGUUUAGGGUUGUUAUUAUGAGGAUACUUGAUAAAACCCUCAUAGAAUGCUUGCAAAUGGGUUUAAUCUAGUGUUACCAUGAUUUUAUAGGCUUGGAAAAAGUCCAGAAUGCCCAUUUUAAACAUCUGUGCGAAACUAGAGAAAUUUAACUGGAACCCGAUUUCACUAGCCUCCGCGACGCACCACUAAUUGCGUUGGCUCUCUGAAAAUUGAAAAUUCCUAAAUCAACCAUCUCCGCGAUGCGCCACUCACUCAAAUGAUGCAAUUUCAUGAAUAAGGAUUAAAUUAGUCAUAAUGUCUUACCCGGGUGUCGAAUUUGGGCAAAUCUUAUAUCGAUGGAAAGCUUAUCAGAUUUUCCACGUGAUAAAAAAAAAUUAAAAUUAGGAAAAUUCUACAUGGUUAACACAUUACUCACUUAGGAAGCAACUUCUUAAUCUUUUAAGGCUGGAAUCACGCCUUACUCGUAAUGCGCUACGACUCAAACUACGAGGAAAAUUUGCGGGGCUUUACAAUAUCUCCCCCUUGGGAACAUUCAUCCUCGAAUGUCGCUAGUUAGGCUCAAAAUGCAGGAAGAACUGAGUACACACAGCUAAAACAAUUGCUAAAUGGUUCAAGGUCUUCUAAAAUUCAUGACCACUCCGGAUAUCGCAAGAACUCAUACAAAGGUAGAUGCAUAGCUGAAAUACAUGUCAAAUUGAAUCUAUACCUUUUUAAAAUCGGCACACUUGAAGAAUACCUAUAUUCACGAUAGGAAUAACUAUGUAGUUGAAUCUCAGUUUAGAGAGAAGCUAAAUGAAGGAAUGGUGUUACCUUCGUCUGAAUCUGGGCUAUCUUGCCUUAGUCUUAUAACGAAGAGUUAACUCAUGCUGAAUUCAAAGCAUGCGAUCAUCGACUGACUAAAUCUUGGAUUAAACCUCCUUAACGUAUUAUCCCUUAACCUACUAUCAAUGAUAAGAAAUGAUAAUAUCUUAGAGCAGAAAUAUUUAGCAGGAAAUCUCUGACACUAACAAAGAAGAUAAUCAACUGAACUGGAAACGGAGGUAAAGCCUAUCUAACGGGUGGCUUCUGGUGCUAAUAACAAGAAUACUCAAUCGAAUCUGGGAUUGAGUUCAAGUCCAUCUAGAGAGUGACCUUGGAAUAAUAAUAAGAAUACUCAACGGCAUCUGAGAUCAAACCUAUCUAACGGGUUAUCUAAGAAUCUGAUAACACUGAUACUGAAGCUGAUUAACUAAGUCUACUCGCAUGAAUAGUUGAAUUCCCUUGGUGCCGUUUAUCUAAUGGAAUAAUACCAAACUCUAAAUAGAGUAAUCGAAUACUGCUAAGGUUUACAUUGAACACGGGUAUACUACUGGAUCUGAGCAGGGUACCAAAUCGAGGCUAGAACGCUAAUGAUACUGAGAUUACUCAAGUUCCAUAGCUGCCUGAGAGUCCUGAGUUCUAUAACUCACGAACUUCUGAGAAUCAUGGCUCGACUGAUAUCAUCAUGAAAACUGAUAUGGGAUCUAGACAUCAUCUAAAUUAUAAGGAACAUAUACCCCCAGGACUCGGUAAUAUAAAAUUAAAACCUAACCAUUCUUGACUAGUCAUGACCACGGUCAUUCAUUCAUCAUCACAAUCACUAAAGUAUCACUUCAUGUAUUUAGGAAUCAUAGACAUGCGAUAAUAUAGGGAUACAUGCCCUAGACUCACAUUCCAUUCUAAAAGGUCUUGUGUCAAGCACUUAGCACAUAUUUGGGUCUUGGCAUGUAUCAUAGAACACAUAAUUGGGGAAACUUCAUGUUAUCACAUCAUAACUCAUCCAACAAACACUUAGCAUGUAUCAAAGGUUUAACAUGUAUCAAAGAGAACCUAAUUAGGGGAUUUCAUACUACCUUUUCACCAUCUAUUCACUAAGGCUUUCCAACAACCACUUGGCAUGCAUGCGCUUGCACACAAUUGGGGUUUCCUAGUCAACAUGCCAUAAUGGCUCUAAUUCCUUCACAUAAUCAUUCCAUCAAAUAUAUAUAUAGGGAGCAUGCCUUGCUUAUUCAACAAUUUCUUCACUAAAUUGGAAUGAACAUAUCAUCUAACAAGAAACGUGAUAAGGGUUUUCGAUGGACAUCACAUGAAUAUCACAUACUAGGGUCAAAGCAUGAUAAACUUAUAAACAAACAUGAUUCACGUCUCAAUCAUAGCAUGGACAUCAAUUUCAACACACAUGAAUCAGGGAAAUUCAUAAACAUAAAAAAUCUUUGAUCUUUAGAAAAGGGUUCUAGAGUUUCUUAGAUAAGAGGAACCCAUGAAUCAAAAUCUACAUGCGACAAUAUUCCCCAGCAUGACACGUCUACUCUCUCCUAUCAACACAACUGUCCAUAUUUCCAUCGCAACCUAAGGAAGAGGUCGCUAAAAAGUUAGAACAUGUGGACCUGAAGCAUGAAGGGACAUUGUACUUAACUUGGCACUCAACUGAGGCUUGAGGCCUUUAACAUCAUGAAAUUAUCGAAGUAGUCUAACCCAAGGACAUGCAUGGUAUAAAUAUGGACUUUGUGAAUUACUAAAAGCAUUGCCCAAGUACUUAAGUCAUGAGUUGCAUGACCUGAAUUUGGAGUUCAGAACUCAUGGGAUGUGAUCCUGACUGCCAAAUGCACCAGAACUCCCCAUUUUAUGAACUAGGAGAGUACAUAACUCUCUAUCAUAUGCAUGAACAUAAAUUAGGAUCAUGGAUCAGAAAUGUAAAACUUGAGAAGGUAUUGGGACAACUUAAAGUACUUAAAUAAGAUAGGGUCAAGCAUCAAUAUUUCUCAAAGCUAUUCUACGCUCACUGGUAUGUCUACUAAAAUCUUAAGGUCUGUCCCUGUCACCGACUCUAUCAUCUCCCCCUUAGACUAAAGCAAUCAAUCCAAGGCGGUGAACCACCAUAUAAACUCUGGUCUGACUGUCGUUAUCUUGCUCUAGAGUUGGGGACAUAACAAUACACAUAAACAAAGGAACUUGGUUCAAACGACUACACUUCAAAGCGCAACACAUCAACACAACAACCACAAUAACAACAACAGACCCAAUAUAUUCCCACAUAAGUGGAGUCUGGGGAGGGUAGAUUAUACGUAGUCUAUACCACUACCUUUAAAGAAGUAGAGAGACUGUUUUUGAUAGACCUCCGGCUCAAGAUAGAAAGGUAGUAUACAAAGGCUUCAAUAACAUAGGAUACCAUAAAACAACAUAGGUACGAUAUCCACAAUGAAUUACACAUUGUAAAACCAAGGACACCAAUUCCUACCUAAUCACCGACAAUGACUCAUCCACACUCUUAGCCCUCUAUCCGAAUGCUUUUUCUCCAAAUCUUCCUAUCUAGGGUCAUUUCCUCAGUCAGCUGCAACUGCCCCAUGUCACGCUCUAUAACAUCACUUCCCAAAGUGUAAUACCAACUUAUAUAACUACCUCCUGGGAUACACAUUAUCCGUCUAUAGCCCCAACAGUCAUCAUUUACUACUUAACGCUUAGAACGGGCACCUCUAAAUCUCUGAUGGACCACACCACUCCUACCAUAAACUAUUACUACAUUGCCUAUAACUUAUGUUUCUGGACCAUAAGAAACAAAUCACACACAACGCCAUCAUUCAUAACUCCUGAACUUUGCUAUCACGGACAUCACUAUCUCCCUAGUCACUCCUAGCAACUCAGCGCCACUACUAACCAGAUAACAUGCAAUAAUCCUUGAUGAGCAAUGCAACCUCAAGGAACCUUGCACACACUUCUACAUCAUACUUACAAUAUCGAACUUCAUUGAAAACCAAACAAACUUAGGCCUUUGUACAUACUGUUAAAGCCUAUUAGAUCACUUCCCUAUAAACUAGUACCAUCAAUCAAGAAGUCGUCUCCUCCAUUUUCAUGACACCAAUCAUUCAAACUUAGUGUCUAGCGCUAAUCUCACUUGGACGUUAUGAAAUAAAACAUCAACAAUACUCAAAAACCGCAUGCCCACUCGAACUUCAUAACCAAUAAUAAUCAAUCGCAAUCACAUGGCCCAUCUUAUUUCCAAUUCAUCAACACAUCCUUCUUUUACACAUCAUUACUAUCCACCUAUUUAUACAUCCCCAACUUAGUUCAUAGCCCUAUUAGUUUCGACCAAACCCUAUCUUACAAUUCUCAAGUACCCUCAAAUUACAACACCCAUCCAUCAAGUACUUUCAUCAAUAACUCAUACUUUCCAAUGCCACAAUCAUCAUCAAAAACUCUUUUCAUACUCCAAGCAGCAAUAUUUUUUAAAUAAGCAAGGACAUAGGACUUCAUUCCUAGCCUAAACAUACAACAAAAUUCAGCUAUACAUAUAAACAUAUAAAUACAAUAAUUGGCCCUAACCACUUUUCUUGUCACCACUACUCUAAACACCCAAGUUUCUAUAAAUACAAGAAUAACAAGACGCAUAUAAGUUGCUACUGGAUCGAAAUAGGGCCUCACACGGCUCCACUAAACUUUGGUUUUGUUCUUUGACCAAGAAAAUAAGAUGAAAAACAAAGCAGCUACGCUAGUUAAUCGAAAGAGCUCCACACGGCUUCAGUAAACUUGAUUUUCUUGUCAAAAAUACAAUUAUACAAAGAUUAUAUAUUAGAAAAGAUAGAAAACUUGACACUCAACAUUGAAUAAUCUACAAAUACAUAUCUCAUUCUGUCUCACUUAUAAGACCCAUAAGAGUAAGGAUAUAACUUUAAACAUGAGGGACUCAUGACACACUGGAAGGCCCUUAUCAAGCCACUCUCAGAGACCUCUGUAACAUAUUACUCACCAAUCUGAGAACAUUAUCUGGAAGGGAACCAAAACUUAGCAAUAAUGAUAUCUAAAGAGUUAUACAUAGGUAAGGAAGUAUAGCUCCACAUCAUGGAUUCAGAGAAGGAAUCUAAAAUAACCUCUGGCUUGGGCUUAGUGCCUGACUUUUUUUAAAAAAAUCAUGAAUAAUACAGUUCAAUCAUUGGAACUCAAAAGCAUUGGUGAGAUACUUUCUAACUCAAUUACAAUCCCACUACUAUUUGUAAGGAUUCAAUCUUAACUAUUUCUGAUACCUUAAAAAUAAGGCGAAGGUGGCCUGAAUAGAGGAGAUUAAGGAUCUGCAUAAAUGCAUAGAGAAUCUCUCUAUAGCACGCUCUAAGACUCAAAAGAAUAGUGAUAUUUCCUAAAUGCAUUGUAGACUCUUGAAGAAAAGUCCAAAUGUCUCCGUACCAUUCUUCAAGACUCUACUAGACACGGCUUCAUAGACACCCUGGGAUACUUGAACUUUGUGCUCUGAUACCAAGUUUGUAACAAACCAAAAUUUUCUUCCGGGACGUCACAUGAUUCGUAGGGUCUCAAGUUACCCCAAGCUAACCCUUCUACUGGCACAACUCAUAAGCAACAGAAUAUAAUGCAUAAAUUUGAAAGAAUAAGGUGGAAAAGAACUCUAAUACGAAUUUGCUCAAUACAAAUCUGAAGUUAUAAGGUUGCAACUCUGCUUUUACAAUAAAACUGUGACUCAAUACAUCAACUCCUACUGACUAUCUAUGAAGCCUCUACUAGUACGGACUACGGGUAGCUCGGUCAUGACUCCCAACCACCACAACUCAAUACGACCAAAUAAGGAAAAUACAAUACUUUUCUAUUAUAUCACUGACAUAUGGCCCUGAAUCAAAAGGACCCAUCACCUGAUGAUUGAAAGCUACGAAUUGAUUGGACGUGGUACAUCCGCUACAAUCUUGUACCUACAUUCUGAGACAAUGUAGUACAUAUACUUAAAUGUGAAUCAGUACUUUGAGGAUUUACUAAGUAUAUGGGGGUGAAUAUAUAUAUAUGUAUAUAUAUAUAUAAUAGUGUCAAUCUUCUUCAAUCAAGUCAUGCGUGCAAUAUGGGAUGCCUCACAUGGCUUGAAAAAGUAUAAAAUGUAAAGCUCAUAAAUCAUGUAAAAUGAAGCAUGUAACACAAUCUCGUGAGUCAUCAUAAUUUAACUUCAAAAUUGGAAGCCUUCUCUUACUCUCAAUGCCCAAAGGCUAAAUGAUUUAAAACCACACAUUAAAGUCAUGCAUAUAUCUCAAGGUAGUAGAAGUUCUUCUAUGCUCAACACUUCACAAUCAUUUAGAAACUCAAUACUUUGAAUUCAAAAUCUUAAAACUUGAAAACAUACAUGAAUGCAUUCAUUCACUUUAAAAAACAUCUCAUCUCAAAUCAAUACCUUUAUUAGGGAAUAUCUUUGCAAUUCAACCAUUUAGGAAAAUAGUUUAUAGGGAAGAAAAAUAAGCAUUUAAUUUCGAAGUUCGAAAGGCAAGGGAGGUUUGCAUAACUGACAUAAACCAUGCGAGCUACAUAGAGUUAAAUGUUUUUUUCUUCUAAGAAAGAGACCCCACGUUAAGGAGGAGCGUCAUACUCUUGCCAAUGAGUAUAACCUAGGUCUAGUGAUCACUAAAGGAAAAUCGGCCUCAGGCCUACAUAAUCAAAUUGGCCUUAGGCCCACUCAUAAUCAUAAUAUAAUCAGCCUCAGGCUCACAUCCUACGGUGUCACGUAGUUUUGGGGUAAGAAACCAUAGUAACUUACCCACUCGGUGCUAAAUACUACUCCCUUUCGAUUAUCUGUGCUCAUCUCAAAAGGUCCACUUUUAGAAUAAUCACAUGGUUCACCACGAACCCAAUAAUGAAAUUGAUAAUCUUAUAUAGUGAAGUGGAUUUCAAAGCUCAAGGACCAUUAUGUCAAUUCAUUUCUCAAUCAUCUCAAAAUAUUCAAAACAUGGGUGUUCAUAGCACAAGAAUUCAUAAUUACAUAAGUCUCGAAUAGGGCUUACUAACCCAUAGUUUAAUUUCAAGUUAAAGCUUAUCAAAAGCAUAAUAUAUAGCAUAUAGAUUCAUAAAUCAUGUGGAAAUCUGGGAAUUUCAGCAAUUUAUCUCAAUAUCUCAAUGUAGUCAUAUGCUUCAAUAUCUCAACAUUUCAAAUAUAAGUUUCUCAAAGAGUAAAGUCAUAGGGUUUAUCCAGCUGUGAAAACUCAAGAAAACAUGUAGAAAUCAUGCCAUUUAAUUCUCAAUUCAUGAGAAAUAUCAACAUAAUUCAUUCAAUAAAUAUGGUUGAAAACCCUAAUUCAAACUCAUGUAAAAACCCCAUUAUUUCAGCAAAAUCAUGAUAUAAAUAAACAUUUUGGGCACAAGGGUGAAAGGAUUACCCUUGUUCAAAACCCCACAUACCUUGAAUUUGAAACUUUAGAAGAACUCUCACUUUUGGAACUCUACUCUUGCUCUAGAAUGAAGAUUCUUGAGACCCUUCACUCGGGAACCUAGAAUCUUGACUCAAUUUAGAAAAUUCAUGGUGGAUUCUUGAUAUUUAUGGAAGAGGUUUUGAGUAUUUAGGGUGGAUACUUGACAAAACCCUCAUAGAAUUCUUGCAAAUGGGUUUAAUCUAGUGUUUCCACGAUUUUAUAGGCUUGAAAAAAGUCAAAAAUGCCCUUUUAAAACAUCUGUCCGAAAUUGGAAAAAUUGAACGGGAACCCGAUUACAUUGGCCUCCCCGACGCGCCACUUAUCGCGUUGGCUCUCUAGAAAUUGACAAUUGCUAAAUCAACCAUCUCCGCGAUUCGGCACUCACUCAAAUGAUGCAAUUUUAUGACUAAGGCUUAAAUUAGUCACUACUUCUUACCCGAGUGUCGGAUUUGGGCAAAUCUUAUAUUCAUGGAAAGCAUAUCAGAUUUUCCACGUGAUAAAAAAUCGAAAUUAGGGAAACUCUACAUGGUUAACAUGAUACUCACUUAGGAAGAAGCUUCUUAAUCUUUUAGUACCGAAAUCAUGCAUCACUCGAUAUGCCCUAUGACUCAAACUAUGUGGGAACUUUGCGGGGCUUUACAAUAUCUCCCCCUUGGGAACAUUUGUCCUCGAAUGUCGCUAGUUAGGCUUAGAAUGCAGGAAUAACUGAGUACACACAACUAAAACAAUUACUAAAUGGUUCAAGGUCUUCCUAAAUUCAUGACCACUCCGAAUAUCGCAAGAACUCAUACAAAGAUAGAUGCAUAGCUGAAAUACUUGUCAAAACGUGAUAAAAAAUCGAAAUUAGGGAAACUCUACAUGGUUAACAUGAUACUCACUUAGGAAGAAGCUUCUUAAUCUUUUAGUACCGGAAUCAUGCAUCACUCGAUAUGCCCUAUGACUCAAACUAUGUGGGAACUUUGCGGGGCUUUACAAUAUCUCCCCCUUGGGAACAUUUGUCCUCGAAUGUCGCUAGUUAGGCUUAGAAUGCAGGAAUAACUGAGUACACACAACUAAAACAAUUACUAAAUGGUUCAAGGUCUUCCUAAAUUCAUGACCACUCCGAAUAUCGCAAGAACUCAUACAAAGAUAGAUGCAUAGCUGAAAUACUUGUCAAAUUGAAUCUAUACCUUUUUAAACCCGACAUACUUGAAUAAUAACUAUAUUUAUGAUAGGAAUAACUAUGUAACUGAAUCUCAGAUUAGAGAGGAGAUGAAUGAAGGAAGGGUGUUACCUUCGUCUGAAUCUGGGCUAUCUUGCCUUAGUCUUAUAACGAAGAGUUAACUUAUGCUGAAUUCAAAGUGUGCGAUCAUCGACACAAAAGAUUACGUUUGAGAUCAACGAUAAGAAAUGAUUAUGUAUGAGAUCAGACCUAUUUAGUGAGAAAUCUCUGAAUCUGACAAAAAAGAUAAUCAACUGGACCUGAAAUGGAGGUCAAGUCUAUCUAACGGUGGCCUCUGGAGCUAAUAAAAGGAAUACUCAAUCGAAUCUAGUAUUGAGAUCAAAUCCAUCUAGAGAUUGACCUUGGAAUAAAAAUAAGAAUACUUAACUGCAUCUGAGAUCAAUCCUAUCUGACGGGUUAUCUCAGAAUCUAAUAACACUUAUACUGAAGAUGAUUAACUAAGUCUACUCGCAUGAAUAGCUGAAUUCCCUUGGUUCCAUUUAUCUGAUGGAAUAAUACUGAACUCAGAAUAGAGUACUCGAAUACUGUUUACACUGAACAUGGGUAUACUACUGGAUCUGAGCAGGGUACAGAACUGAGGCUAGAGCACUAAAGAUACUGAGAUUACUCAAGUUCUAUAACUGCCUGAGAAUCCUGAAUUCUAUAACUCACAAAGUUUUGAGAAUCAUGGCUCGACUGAUAUUAUCGUGAAAACUAACACAGGAUCUAGACAUUGGCUAAAUUGUGGGGUACAUAUACCCCCAGGACUCAAUAACAUAAAAGUAAAACAUAACCAUUCUUGACUAGUCAUGACCACGAUCAUUUAUUCAUCAUCACAAUAACUAAAUCAUCACUUCAUGUAUUUAGGAAUCAUAGACAUGCGAUCAUCUAGGGAUACAUGCUCUCGGCUCACAUUCCGUUCACUAAGUUCUUGCGUCAAGCACUUAGCACGUAUUUGUGUCUUGGCUUGUAUCAUAGAACACAUAAUUGGGGAAACUUCAUAUUAUCACAUCACAACUCAUCCAUCAAACACUUAGCAUGUAUCAAAGGUUUAGCAUGUGUCAAAGAGCACCUAAUUGAGGGAUUUUAUACUACCUUUUUACCAUUUAUUCACUAAGGCUUUCCAAUAACCACUUGGCAUGCAUGAGCUUACACACAAUUGGGGUUUCCUAGUCAACAUGCCAUAAUGGCUUUAAUUCCUUCACGUGAGUAUUUCAUCAAAUAUAUAUAUAAGGAGCAUGCCUUUCUUAUUCAAUAAUUUCUUCACUCAAUUGGCAUGAACACAUCAUCUAACAAGCAACGUGAAGAGGGUUUACCACGAAUAUCACAUGAAUAUCACAUGCUAGGGUCAAACCUUGAUAAACUUGUAAACAAACACGAGUCACGUGUCAAUCAUAGCAUGAACAUCAAUUUUAACUCACAUGAAUCAUGGAAAUUCAUAAACAUAAAAAAUCUUUGAACUUCAGAAAAGGGUUCUAGAGUUUCUUGGAUUAGAGGGACCCAUGAAUCAAAAUCUACAUGCGACUAUCUUCCCUAGCAUGACAUUUCUACUAUCUCCUGUCAGCACAACUGUCCAUUAUUUCCAUCGCGACCUAAGGAAGAGGUCACUGAAAAGUUAGAACAUAUGGACCUGAAGCAUGAAGGGACAUUGUACUUAACUUGGCACUCAACUGAGGCUGAGGCCUUAACAUCAUGAAAUUAUCAUAGCAGUAUAACCCAAGGACAUGCAUGAUAUAAAUCUAGACUUCGUGAAUUACUAAAAGCAUUGCUCGAGUACUUAAGUCAUGAGUUGCAUGACCUGAAUUUGGAGUUCAAAACUCAUGGGAUGUGAUCCUGACUGCCAAAUGUACCAGAACUCCCCAUUUUAUGAACUAGUAGAGUAAAUAACUCUCUAUCAUAUGCAUGAACAUAAAUUAGGAUCAUGGAUCAAAAAUAUAAAACAUGAGCAGGUAUUGGGACAACUUAAAGUACUAAAAUGAGAUUGGGUCAAGCAUCAAUCUUUCUUAAAGCAAUUCUACUGCUCACUGGUACGUCUACUAAAAUCUUAAUGUCUGAACCUGUCACCAACUCUAUCAUCUCCCCCUUAUACUUAAGCCAUCACUCCAAGGUGGUGAACCACCAAAUAAACUCUAGUCUGACUAUCGUCACCUUUCUAUAGAGAUGGGGAUAUAACAAUCCACAUAAAUAAAAGAACUUGGCUCAAAUGACUAUACUUCAAAGCAUAACACAUCACAACAAACAACAUAAUAACAAAGAUAGACCCAAUAUAUUCCUACAUAAGUGGAGUCGUGGGAGGGUAGAUUGUACGCAGUCCAUACCACUACCUUUAAAGAAAUGGAGAGGCAGUGUUUGAUAGACCUCUGGCUCAAGAUAGAAAGGUAGUAUACAAAGGCUUCAAAAACAUAGUACACCAUAAAAUAACAUAGGUACGACAUCCAUGAUGAAUUGUAUAUUGUCAAACCGAGGACAUCAGAGCCCACCUAAUUAUCGACUACGACUCAUCCACACCCUUAGCCCUCUAUCCUUAUGCUAUAUUUCUAAAUCUUCCUAUGAAGGAUCAUGUCCUCAAUCAUUUGCAACUGCCCCAUGUCACGCUCUACCAUAUCACUUUCCAAAAUUUAAUGCCAACUCAUAAAACUAUCUUCUGAGAUACACAUCAUCCAUCUAUAGCACCAAUAAUCAUCAUUUACUACUUAAAGCUUAAACGGGCACCUCUAAAUCUUUGAUAGACCACACCACUUCUACCAUAACCUAUCACUACAUAUCCUAUAACUUAUGUUUCUAGACCAUAAAAAUCAAAUCAUGCAGAACACCUUUAUUCAUAACUCCUUAACUUAGCAAUCACGAACAUCAUUCACUAUCUCCCUAGUCCAAACUAGCAACUCAGUGCCACUACUAACCAGAUAACACACAAUAAUCCUCGAGAGGCAAUGCAACCUCAAGGAACCUUGUGCACAAUUCUACAUCAUACUUACAACAAGGAAUUUGAUUAUGAACCAAAAAAAGCCCACUCGAACUUCAUAACCAAUAAUAAUCAAUCGCAAUCACAUGGCCCAUCUUAUUUCCAAUUCAUCAACACAUCCUUCUUUUACACAUCAUUACUAUCCACCUAUUUAUACAUCCCUAACUUAGUUCAUAGCCCCAUAAGUUUCGACCAAAUCCUAUCUUACAAUUCUCAAGGACGCCUAAAUUACAACACCUAUCCACCAAGUACUUUCAUCAAUAAUUCAUACUUUCCAAUGCCACAAUUAUCAUCAACAACUCUUUUCAUACUCCACGAAGCAAUAUUUCCCAAACAAGCAUGGACAUAGCACUUCAUUCCUAGCCUAAACAUGUAACAAAAUUCAGCUAUACAUAUAAACAUAUAAAUUCAACAACUGGCCCUGACCACUUUUCUUGUCACCACCACUCUAAACCCCCUAGUUUCCACCAAUCCAAAAACAACAAAAUACAUAAUAAGUUGCUAGUGGAUCGAAAUAGGCCUCACACAGCUCCACUAGACUUUGGUUUUGUGUUUUGAAUAAGAAAAUAAGAUAAAAAACAAAGCAACUACGCUAUUAAAUCGAAAGAGCCCUACAUAACUUCACUAGACUUGAUUUUGUUUUCAAAAAUACAAUGAUAACAAGAUUACAUAUUGGUAGAGAUAGAAACUUUACACACAACAUUCAAUGAUCUAUGAAUACAAAUCUCAUUCUAUCUUACUUAUAAGACCCAUAAGAGUAAGGCAAUAACUUUAAACAUGAGGGAUACAUGACACCAGAAGGCCCUUAUCAAGCCACUCUGAGAGACCUCUAUAGCAUAUUACUUACCAAUCUGAGAAUGUUAUCUGGGAGGGAACUGAAACUUAGGAAUAAUGAUAUCUAAAUAGUUAUAAAUAGGUAAGGAAUCAUAGCUCACAUCAUGGAUUCUGAGGAGAAAUUUGAAAGAACCUCUGACUUGGGCUUAGUGUCUGACUUUUUUUUAUGAAUCAUGAAUAAUUCACUUCAAUCAUCGGAACUUAAAAGAAAUAGUGGGAUACUUUAUAACUAAAUUACAAUUCUACUACUAUUUGUAAGGAUUCAAGCUUGACUAUUUCUGAUACCUUAAAAAAAGAAGAAUGUGGCCUGAAUAGAAAAAGUUGAGGAUCUGCAUAAGCGCAUAGAGAAUCUCUCUAUAGCACGAUCUAAGACUCAAAAGAAUAGAGACAUUUAGUAAAUUCCUUGUAUCCUCUUGAAGAAAAGUACAUAUAUCUUCGUACCAUUUUGUAAGACUCUACUAGAUACGGCUUCAUAGAUAGCCUGGGACACUUGAACCUUAUGAUCUGAUUCCAAGUUUGUAAUGACCCAAAAUCGCUUCUAGGGACGUCACACAGUGCCUAGGGUCUCAAGUGACCCCAAGAUAACCCUUCUAUUCGGACAACUCAUAAGCAAUGGAAUAAAAUGCAUAAAUCUGAAAGAAUAAGGUGGAAAAGAACUCUAAUACGAAUUUGCUCAAUAUAAAUCUAAAGUCACAGGGUUACAAAUCUGCUUUUAUAAUAAAAUUGAGACUCAAUACAUCAACUCCUACCAACUAUCUAUGUAGACUCUACUAGUACUAACAAUGGGUAGCUAGGUCAUGAAUCCCAACCACCCCAACUCAAUAUAACUAAAUAAGGAAAAUACAACACUUUUCUAUUAUAUCACUAACUUUUAGCCCUGAAUCAGAAGGUCUCAUCACCUGAUGACUGGAAGCUACAAACUGAUUGGACGUGGUACAUGCGCUACAAUCUUGUACCUAAAUUAUGAGACAAAGUAUCACAUAGACGUAUAUGUGAAUCAGUACGGAGUAUGUGGGGGUGAAUGCAUAUGCAUAAAAUAGUGUCAGUCUUCUUCAAUCAAGUCAUGCAUGCAAUAUGGGAUGACUCACAUGUCUUGAACAAGUAUAAAAUGUAAAGCUCAUAAAUCAUGUAGAAUGAAGCAUGUAACACAAUCUCGUGAUUCAUCAUUAUUUAACUUCAAAAUCGGAAACCUUCUCUUACUCGCAAUGCCCAAAUGCUAAGGGAUUUCAAACCACACUUUGAAGUCAUGCAUAUAUCUCAAGAGAGUAAAAGUUCUUCAAUGCUCAACACUUCACAAUCAUUUAGAAACUUAUAUACUUGAAAUUUGAAAUCAUAAAACUUGAAAACAUACUAGAAGGGAUUUUAUUCACUUUAGAAAAUAUCUCAUCUCAAAUCAAUUCCUUAUAGGGAAGGAAAAUAAGCAUUUAAUUUUGAAGUUCAAAAGGCAAUGAAGGUUCUCGUAACUGACAUAAACCAUUCAAGAUACAUGGAGUCCAACAUUUAUCCUCGUAAGAAAGAGACCCCACGUUGGGGAGGAGUGUCAUACUCUUUCCAAGGAGUAUAAUCUUGGUCUAGUGAUCACUAAACAAAAAUUGGUCUCGGGCCUACGUAAUCAAAUUGGCCUCAGGCCUGCUCAUAAUCAUAAUAUAAUCAGCCUCAGGCUCAUAUCCUAUGGUGGCACGUAGUUUUAGGGUAAGAAACCAUAGUAACUUACCUAUUCGGUGCUAAAUACUACUCCCUUUAGAUUUUCUAUGCUCAUCUCAAAAAGUCCACUUUUAGAAUAAUCACAUGGUUCACCAUGAACCCAAUAAUCAAAUCAAUAAUCUCAUAUAGUGAAGUGGAUUUCAAAGAUCAAGGACCAUUAGGUCAGUUCAUUUCUCAAUCAUCUCAAUAUAUUCUAAACAUGGGUGCUCAUAGCACCAGAGUUCAUAAUUUCAUUUGUCUCGAAUAGUGCUUAUUAACCCAUAGUUCAAUUUCAAGUUAAAGCUUAUCAAAAGAUUAAUAUAUAGCAUAUAGAUUCAUAAAUCAUAUGGAAAUCUAGAAAUUUCAGCAAUUCAUCUCAAAAUCUCAAUGUAGUCAUAUGCUUAAAUAUCUCAACAUUUCAAAUAUAAGCUUCUCAAGGAGUAAAGUCAUGGGGUUUAUCCAGCUGUAAAAACUCAAGAAAACAUGUAGAAAUCAUNNNNNNNNNNNNNNNNNNNNNNNNNNNNNNNNNNNNNNNNNNNNNNNNNNNNNNNNNNNNNNNNNNNNNNNNNNNNNNNNNNNNNNNNNNNNNNNNNNNNNNNNNNNNNNNNNNNNNNNNNNNNNNNNNNNNNNNNNNNNNNNNNNNNNNNNNNNNNNNNNNNNNNNNNNNNNNNNCACAUACCUUGAAUUUGAAUAUUUAGAAGAACUCUCACUUUUGGAACUCUACUCUUGCUCUAGAAUGAGGGUUCUUGAGACCCUUCACUUGGGAACCUAGAAUCUUGACUUAAUUUAGAAAAUCCAUGGUGGAUUCUUGAGAUUUAUGGAAGAGGUUUAGAGUAUUUAGGAUUCUUGUUGAGAGGAUACUUGAUAAAACCCUCAUAUAAUGCUUGCAAAUGGGUUUAAUCCAGUGUUUCCAUGAUUUUAUAGGCUUGAAAAAAGUCAAAAAUGCCCUUUUUAAACAUCUGUGCUAAACUGGAAAAAUUGAACUGGAACCCAAUUUCACUGGCCUCCGCAACGCAGAACUUAUCGCGUUGUCUCUCUGGAUAUUGACAAUUACUAAAUCAACCAUCUCCGUGAUGGGCCACUCACUCAAAUGACAUAAUUUUACGACUAAGGUUUAAAUUAGUCAUAACUUCUUACCUGAGUGUCGGAUUUGGGCAAAUCUUAUAUCGAUGGAAAGCUUAUCAGAUUUCCCAUGUGAUAAAAAAAUCAAAAUUUGGGUAAUUCUAUAUGGGUAACAUGUUACUUAAAUAGGAAUCAACUUCUAAUCUUUUAGGGACAGAAUUAUGCCUCACUCGACAUGCCCUACGACUCAAACUACGAGGGAACUUUGCGGGGCUUUAUAGUAACCAUGUCAUGGGCAUCCCAAUAUAGGGGUAAAUCAACUGGCACAAGUAGUGGUGGUGCUGCUUCACUACUAGAGGAUGCACUUAUGUCUAUCUCUAGACGCCUCUGCCUAUCAAUGACCGUAGUCUCUAUGCAAUCAUAUCUCAAACUUUUAAUAGUGUAGUCAUAUGGCAUAUCAAGAUCCUACAAGAUUUAUUUGUGACAUAUGUUUACACCAACUAUCGAUACCAUCUUAUCAUCCUCUGUGAAGAAAUUAAACUUUCUAGGUACAUGCAGAGGUAAUAUCUAGACCACUGGGGGGUAUAACUGAGGGAGUGGAUACUAUACAACUAUCUAUGAGAGUGCAUACCUCUGCUUAUAAUAUAUAAAAAUCCUCCUUCAUCUAGGCUAGAUCUGGUGCCUCUAUAUCUGUAAUUCGAGUUAUAACUUAUCUCUCAAAGUCAUCAAGACAUGCCUAAAAGUCAGCACGUAGCUCAGAGAGUGCAGCUCUUUGUGCGGCCUCCCAUCUGUCCUCUGCCUACUCAAAUCUAGUUCGAACCCCAGAUCUCAUUUUCUCGUAUAAGGUAUUUAUCUUAGUCUCAACAACCUCAACCAAGCAUUGGUGACCCUCUGGCUUUCCACUAAACUCUUUAAGAACUCUAUAGAUAGAGUAAUUAUACCCUUAGUAGGAGUUGUAAUAGAUGGGUGAGUAGGCUCUGAACAUAUGCCAACCUGCUCUGAGGUUGAAGUCGGGUCUUAUGAAGAAGUGGUUGGUGUCCCCUCACCCUGAUUACUCGAAUUGGUAGCCUUUCUCUGCAUCCCUAUCUUCAUAUUAUCACUAACACCCAUAUUGCAUACAUGUUCGUCACCACUGUGGAAACUGAUGGGCCCUCAAUCUAGACUCGAGGAACUGUGGUAGGUUCUCUAGAUCUCCUGGCAAGGCCUGGGCAUGCUAGAUCCUAUAUACUCUUUAUCUACAUAGUAUCCAUCACACGUACCCUUUCAUAUACACCCGGUAUCUCAAGUACACCAGCCUUAUCAUAUAUCCUCUGAAUAAUUCUAUGGUAUGGUAGAUUAGUCAUCUCCCCAAAUGCUCUGUCAUGGAUCUCAUUCAAUAGGAUGGAUCCAAAAUCAAUAGCAUAUCGGGUCAUUAUAGUAGCAACAAGGGUUCUUCCUUCCAAAGUAAACAAACUAUCCAAAGCUGUGGGAAAUAAUUUAUAUCUAAUUAGCAACCACCAAAACAUGGACUCAAUGGUCAACACACCCUUGUUGAUCAUUCCAUUACCCUCAAUCUAUGGGUUAGCAUCACUUAAAGGUAAAAUAUAGCUGGAUAUCCACCUAUCCAUCUCAACCCUUUCUCAGGUAUGUUAAGCCUCCUGUAUAAUGUGUCGAUCUUAUACGAAUCUUAGUCGGUAGUCACACUCAGUUGUAGAUGCAAGAGUGAUAUAAUAUAGACCAAAAAUGACCCGACAGAUAAUCUCUACUGAAGCUAAACUCUAACCCCUCUCAUAAGUGUAUGACCAAGAUAUGGCGGCUCUAUGUGCUUCGUCGGGUUUGGCAAUCUGUGCAUAGCAAGAGAAUAACUAGGUAUCAUGCAUAAAACUCAAGCACCGAACCUAGGCUAUAAGAACCAAGUGGUCUAGUUAUCCACUCUAACUAAUAUUGAUCAGAGUAAGCUCGUAACUAUGGUACUCUCCUCAACCAUGAUAUACCAAUCUUUCUCCUUAUAAAUAAGUCUCUUGGGUUUUCUAGUAUCUGAGAUAUGAUUGUUUAUAUAAUAAACCACCAUAUAUCCUCUACAAACCACCUUAGAGGUGCCUCUAUGGCAUGUGUGGAUGCAAGGCUCUUCCCAUAAUGUACUGGUGCAUCAUGGGUAGCCUGCUCUGUACCAUCCUUAUAUUGGGGUACAUCUGAAUAUUGUAUGUGAAUGAUAGUACCUUACUAAGACUCAAAUACGACUGAUGAUUCCUCUAGACUCGAAUACCACUGAUGACUCCUUCUCAACAGCUUCAAAUGAAUCCUGGGACCCGUCCUCAGACUUGAGGUCCUAAGUUACAACCUUUGGAGUAGUGUAUGGGGGUUCUAUCCAUGCUGACUUCUUCCUUGACUAGGCUUUGACUGCCUGAGUAGUCUGGCGUAUCUCUCCUCUAGUUACUCUGUGUGUAACCACAACUAUAGUGUCCCUAUGUCGCUGCAUCAGGUACUCCUCCACUGAACCACUAGGCUCGAGAUACUCUGCUCGUCUCCUCGAGGUAUCAACCUUUUUAUUCUUAUUAUCUUUUGGUACCAUGUCUACCUAAAAAAAUAGUCGUUAGUUUCCAAAAUAAUAAGGUAUAGCAAAAAUUAAAGAAAACUCAAAAUUCAAAAAGUUAAAAUUUUUCCUCAAUUUUCAGACCCUUAGAACCUGUUUGAAAUCAAUGCAAGUCCAAUGUGCAAAAAUCUAUCAAGAAUCAUCAUUUUCAAUAUAAACUAAUAUGCUCAACUUGUGGUAUUACUCUAUUCAUUCAAGUUCAACUUUUGGUUGGGGCCUAACCUUAGAAUUUAAUUCAAAACAUGACCCUAAAUUGAGAUUAUAGGAUAAUUCAAGGCUCCUACAUACAAGCUUGAUAAUAUCUAUAUAUUUUACAAGGGAAUACAUAUAUCAACUUGUUUAAAUAAUAAAUAAAUCAAUACAUAACCAUUAGGAGUCGAGAGAGUUACAUCUUUUAUGAAAAUCUGAAUAUGAACAAAGAAGAACUCGAGCAAAAUCAAAGUUAGAAAUUAUAUUUAGUGUUUUGAGACAAGUUAGUAUCUCAAACAAGUGUCAAUUUAGCCUCUACUUAAGUAUGGGGUUACUUUAUGUUUUAAGAGAGAAGUUUGGAUUCAAAGAGAAAAAUGAAGUUUUGAGGAUUUGAAUGAGUUAGAAUAAGUUUAAAUGUGUUUACAUAAGGAUGGAACAUGUGUUGGUGGGCUCGAAUUUUUAAUUAAAAUUUGGGGCCACUUAUGACCAAGUCACGGUAGGUACCUGCGCCUGCCACAUACGGCAAGCAUGGGUGUAAGUUCCAUUUGCAUAACUGCAGGGCUAAAAAUUUUGGCACCCUUUCCUGCAAUCCUGAUGUGGUGUUUUUCUAUUUUUACAGCUACUUAUGAUACCGUAACCUAAGUUUAUCAUACCAUAAGGAUGAUUAGAUACCAAAGUCCACAACUUUUAAUUCUCAUCCUAAAAGUAUUCACUGUUUAAUUUAUUGUUCAUCUUACCUGGCUCAUGUGGGACUCGUGACCAUGAUGGGUUAAUCACACCAUCCCCUUGCGCGGAAAUUGAUGAAUGAAGCAAUUUUACCAUAUUCCAGGCAAGUCAAUAAGCUAAAAACCAACAAAAGAAAAACAACAAAAAAUGAAUACUCAAGUAGUUGUUUGCCUCCUUCUCAGCACUGGACUUAACGUCGCGGCAUAAUGCGACUGUAAAUAAAUACUCCACACUUAGACUUUAAAAGGUACAGAUAAAAAUACUCCCUGAGGCAUCUAGGCCUAGCUAGUAGCAUAUUUACACGUUAAGAGGGUCUGAGGACCCUACACUUAGUCUUUUCCAUGUUCCUUAGCUCAGGUUUUCCGAUACUCAGACUUCCUAUCAACCUUUGACUUAACAAAAACAAACACUAGUGAAGUAGAACUCAAUAUACUUAAAAUAAAACCUACUUACUUAACUUGGGUUGCCUCCCAAGAUACGUCUGAUUUAGUGUAGCAGCAUGACCCAAUCUCUAACUCAACCAUAUUCCUUCAUCUUUUUCCUCCUAAUUUCUGACCUCUUGAGUGUGAACUCUCAAGGUUAAUACCUUUCUCAACAAUAACCUUUUCAAGAUCAUCAAUUUCCAUCAUGUCGGGCUUAGAUAUUUAUGGCUUAUCCUUCUCAAUUAGGAAGUCUAGAGAGGUGUUUUAUGGAAUAGAUUCCUCCACCCCACACUUAUUCCCUUUAACCACUAUAAUCAUGCAAAUCUUUAUAGUGGGCUAUUGCGUUGAGCGGUUUGUACUCUUUAAAAAUCAUCUCUCCAUUAUCUAGCCUCAUUGUUAGUGUGCCCUCUCUCAUACCAAAGCUCCUCCCAACUCCAAGAAUGGAUGUCCCAAGAUGACUAUUACUCUUUUAUCUACCUAAAAAUCUAAAAUAAUAAAAUAAGAAGGAAUAAUAAACUUACCAACCUUGAUAAGAACAUCCUCUAUGACUCCUUCAGGAUGGGCUAUUAUCCCAUUUACCAGUUGUAAUAGCACAAAGUACGGUCUUGGCUUUCCUAAGCCCAAAGUGUUAAACAAAGAGAGGGGCAUCAAAUUGAUGCUUGCCCCUAAGUCACUAACUACAUGGACCACCUCACUAUUGCCAAUUCAAGUGAGGAGAGUGAACCUCCCAAGGUCCUUGAUAUUCUUUGGCAUCUUUUGUGUCACCACAGAGCUACACUUCUCAGUGAGUGCGACUACCUUGACAUCCUAUAUCGUAACAUAGUUAGUGACCACAUCCUUCAAGUACUUAGAAUACUUGGUCAUUCCUUGACAAAAAUCUAAGAGAAAAAAGUUAAUAUGAAUAUCUUAGAAUGUGUCGAAGAACUUUUUAAAGCACACAUCCUCCUUUUCCUUUUUAUGCUUCUGUGGAAAAGGUAGUGAUGGUCUCUCUUUCACCUAUUCAGCAAUUUUAUUUUUUGAGUACUCUGACUUUCCUAAAUUUUUAUCAACUUUCUUAGAUACCUGUGGGGAAAUUAACUCUGCAUCUACCUCCUUAGUUUUUUUUGGAGUUUCUUCAUUCAUACUUUUACCACUCCCCAAAGAAUUUGCCAUAAUCUUUUUCGGAUUUUCUGUAUCACUUGGCAAACCACCUUGAGGCCUGGUAUUUUGUGCCUUCGUAAACUGACCAAUUAGAAAAUCUAAGAUCCUUGUAACUUCUUGUUGCCUCUUUAUAUCUACUGCCAGUUGAUCUUGAGUAACCAUGAUUUGCUUUAGCAUCUCUUUUAAAUUGUUGUUCAGAGUUGUGGGUUGAUUAUUCUGAGCUUGUUUCUAUUGAAACUAUUAUUGAUUGUUCCAUGAGGUGUUUAGUGGAUGAGUUUACGACUUUUGAUUGUAGGCAAUCCUAUAAUUUGUCAUUUAAACAUUACCUGCAAAUAUCACAAUCUCUAGAUUUGUAGCACACAUAGCCACUGAAUGGCCACUAUUACCAUAAACCUCCCAACAACCUAUAACCUGUUGAAUUGCAUUAACUGUGUUUGCAGGCGGUGUAACCCGCAAAUUUUUAUUGCUUGGCUGAUUUUGCAUUGCAGAAAUAUGGGUGGAUAUAGCAGUAAAUUGGUCCACCUCCAAUACACCUACAACCUUCUUUAUGGAAUUUCUUGAGUCUAAAUGCCACUUGGGAUUCCCUUGUUCAAUUCGGUUCAACAAGGUAAAAAGCUCAUCAUAUGUCAACUCUAGAGCUUGGUUUUUGGUCAAGUACUUCAACAAAAAUAUAAGCUAAUACCUCGCUGGACUGCUGAUGUUGCAGAUAGUCCCGAAGAAGUGAUUUCAACCACUCCCAUGCAUGAUACAAAUUCUUAUCUAGCUUCUGUUUAAUGCACACAAUCUCACUAUGAAGUUUUGCAAUCUUGCUAGAUGGAAAGAAUUGAAUGAGGAAUUUCUGGGUUAAGUCAUCCUAUGUUGUGAUUGAAUUUAUUGGCUCAGAAUUCAAGCACUUUUUUGCUUUCCCCAACAGUGAAAAGGGGAAUAGUGUCAGCCAAACAUAGUCAGUUCACACACCCGUAGGGACAAAUGUGCCAUUGAUCUCCAAUAAGUUCCAUAGGUGGACUUGUGGAUCUUCAUGCGAAAGCCCUAUAAACUUUCCAUUGUUGAUAAAAAAGCUGCAUCAUAUUCCGUUUUCACUCAAAAUUACCCCCAACACCUAGUUUCUGAAAAAGAGAGGUCAAAUUUCCUAGAAGUGGUAUUUCCACUUUGCGAAUUAUCUAGUGGGAUAGCUGUUCUUUAUCCAUGAAAUUAGCAUCGUCUUGUUCCUCAUGAAUUUGUGGGAAUUGGUGGAGAAGUUCUACCUCUCCUCUAUUGAUGGUACAAUUGCUUGGAUUCGGGCUUUGGUUUGACUAAUUCCCUAUCCCGUGCUAACCUACUAAUUUUUUAACCUAUUUCUUACAAACUAAAUACCAAAUAACAAGCUUAAAGAAGCAAAGAAAUCUAAAAAUUAAAACAAAAACAAAAAUAGUUGCCAAUUUGCAAGUCCCCAGUAAUGACGCCAAAAACUUAUUGUUCCCAAGUGUACACGCAAGUUUAUGUGGUAUCACCAAGUUGUAAAGUUUCCCUUUAGAAGCUAAGUGUCAAUCUUAUAGGGACUAGUGUUAAGCAACUAUGAAAUUUCAAUUCAACUAUUAAGAUUAACAAGGUUCAAGUGUAACCAAGAGAGAAUUUGAAGUCUAUAAACUAAAAGUAAAUAGUCAGUAAAGUAAAGACUUAAUACAAUCAAUGGAUGAAAUCCUAGGGUUAAAUCAGUACAAACAAUCAUACUAUGCUUUAACUUCAUUAAUUAAAUUACUUAUCUUGGUUGUUGAUUCGUAGGGUUUAUCGUACGAUCAUGGUCUCCUGACCUCUAAUUUUCUACCUACUUUGACGUUGCAACUACAUCAUUGAGCGAGGAAAUAAUAAUCCAAUUAGAUGCAUUAAUAUAUCAUCCUACAUGUUAACUAAGCAAGGCUUCUAGGUAUAUCCCUAUCCUAGAUUCUUAUUCAAAUUCCUUAUUUCAUAAAAGAAUAAGAACCUUACUUUCUCAGUCCCGCGUUCUAUCUUUCUGUUACACCUACUGAGACCAUAAGGUCUACAAUAUAUGUAAUAUAAAGGUCAAAAAAUCCUUAAAAUAGUUGAAACAAGGAUAAACAAACAACCAAAGUUUAUAAGCAAUUCAAACAGACUUAACUCAGAACAAAAGUAAUUAUGUUCUUGGGUUUAACCUCAGAAAGGGGGCGUUUAGCCACUAAUCAGAAUAACCAUAAUCCAAAUUCUUGAAUACAUGAUUAAAUCUAUUAAAAAUACACAAUUAAGUAAUAUAAAUCCAAAAAAAUAUGUGUAGUAGACUACUCUCCAGUCCCAAGACGUCGAAAACUAAUUUGAACAUGAUGACAAGUCCUACUUAUAGUAAGAGACAGUUUUUCCAUGUGUGGGAAGAUUGACGCACUGCAUUGCUUAAUCAAAUUGAGAGAUAAAAACGAUGCAAUGGUUACACAUUGAGUAAGUGCGCGUUGGCUCACUUGAAUUUGCCUUUUGAUGCCUAAUUUCUUCUAAGUGUUUCUCCUUCCAUCACUUGACUUGUAGUGUUAUUGCCACUCAAUUUUAAUAUUGUAUAGAAUAUAAAUAUAAUCACAAUAAACAUGAUUAAAAACAACACUUUAGGUUCAAAACAACACAAUAUCAAUAACGAUGAACUAGAAACACGAGCUAAGCUAGGCUUGGCCAUGUUAAUCUUUACUUCAUGAUUUGACUCUUUAAUUGAUUCAAGUGCACUUUGUAAAUUGUAAAAAGUUUUUACACAUAAAUAAAACCAUUAGGAACUCAUUUAACACAUUAUAAUCCAUCAUAAUAGACUAGAGCAACACCUAGCUCAAGCUAGUAAAGCUAGUUUUCUCGUCUAGACUCUAAAUGAUCCAUUUGAACCCAUACUUGUUUUAAAACAACUUUAAACAUUAUAAUCAUAUACUUUUACACUUAUAUUCUUAUUUAUAUCAUCAUCAACACAUAAAUCACACGAAUUGUCUUCAAAACCAGGCUAAAUAGUAAGAUAACAACACUAAAGUACGGAAAUACACCCAACAUCAUGAUCGUGACCCCAAACCAGAAUCAGAUCUACCCAAGCUAACCUUCAAGUCCCACAAUCACAUAAUAUGAUUGAUAUAAUUGUACCUAUGUGAUUGUGAUCACAAUGGCUGAGUUUUGUUUACAUUUAUGUCAGCUAUAAAUUGGGAAAUGUUUUUAAAAUGGUUCCCACACUCAACUCCCUUUAAAUACCAAAAAAAAUCUAAAUUUUUUUAUAAUUUUAAGCGUAUCCAAAGUGCAUACAUCCUCCUUUGCAUCGUCACAUCCAGUAUGACAUCUCAAUCUUCUUUUAAUGCUUAAGUUAGGCCUUAGAAGCAUGUUUGGGCUCAUGGCUUAGAUUAUUGAUUUUGGUGCUUAAUAUAUGUUCAAUAGUGAUAAUUUUUUAGUGGUGAGUGUUGUUGUUGGUGUUCACCUCAUUGGGGAAGUCUUGAGUACCAAAGUUGUUCAAAACUAGGAUGAAAUAAAGGUGCACACUAAGUGUUUAAUGAAAUAUCGAAAUGAACUUAUUGGUUGUUUUCUAUAAACAAAGGGUAAUAAUUGAGAGUUUAGGUUUUGUGUGUCAUAUUUCUAGUGUCAUUUACUUGCUUGGUACACAAAUUGGUAAAGAAAAUUAGUAGUUUUGAUCAUGAUCAUUCUAGGCCUGCAUCCUCAGGUAUCGCGAUAUAAUCACUAAACUGAGAUCACAAUAAUGCUAUUGCGAUCAAGUUCUUUUAAAUUUCAUCAACUAAAAGGUGUCUAACAGGCCUACCAAAACUCUUGAACUCUUAUUUUAAGCCCAAAUUUGACCCAUGAACCAUUUCAUUAGCUUUGCUAAUUUUCCUAGCAUUAUUUUCACAUGAUGAUAUUGAUUGCUAAUUUUUUUGGGUUCUUCAAGUUUCAAAACCUAAAUAUGGAAAACUAUGAUCAAACCAUUUUCAUGGUGAUUGAGUGUUAGACUAUUUAUUAUGAGGAUCCUUCCAGGUAGAAAGUACUACUUGAGAGGGACAUAUCAAUGGAAUAGGUACCCAAAAAGCUCUUUUCAUUGAGUGAGAGCUUGGUAGCCACAUAUUGGAGAUGCUUCACCUUAGGUCUAUACCGAGCUAAUAAGCAAUUGAUUAGGGAAUUCUAUGCUAAUCUCAAUGUCGUGAAAAUUUCUGACCUAGUAUUGAGAAUUUAAGGCACAAAAGUUUGUUACAUGGCUAAACAAAUCAAUAAAGUAUAUGGGUUGCCAAAUAUUGAUAUGAGUGAGCAUGAAGACAAAGACUGGGCACUGGGAAGCUGGUUAGUUGAGAAGCUAUGCUCAGGAAGGAAAGUUCAAUAGGCUGACACAAAAAUUGGUAUAACAAAGAAUCAGUAACGAUGAAGGCUCGGAUUUGGUUAACUAUCAUCUUUAUAUAUGUUUCUUUAUCUACCAAUAUGACCCAUGUCCAAUUCAUGUAAGAUUAGAUGGUAGCUUGCCUUUUAUAAAAUAUUUCUAAUAAUGUUGGUCAUUUUAUGCUUUCAUAGAUCUGCUAUUUUAAGAAGAAAGGUGGCCCCAUGAUCCUAUUUCUUUCUUUUAUCAUUGAGCUUUGCAAGAGGGCUGAGGUGGAGGAAUAUUCUAGGGACAACUAGGUAUCGCUGAAGACCCUUAUUUACCUAUUGAAUAUACUGGCGAGGAAUCACCUUUAAAGACAAAAAAAAGGAAAAUCAAUUUGGGUAAAUCAGUGGAUAAUGAUGUUGACUCUUGCAGACCAUCAAUAGUAGGGAUUCUUGAGUAGAUCUCAAGUCAGAUAUGAAUAAUAAAUAAGCUAGUUUCUAAUCUACCUCAAUGGAUAGAGGAACCUUCAAUUAAUCUACACUCCUUUGUUUUUCGAAUUGACUAUGAGAUUCUCCCAGAGAGGAGGGGGGGUGAUGAUAUGCUAUCCAGGUGGUCAGAUGAUGACACACCACUAUUUGAGGAUAAUGAUGAAGAGACUGCGAGUGAUGGUAACAUGUGAUGCAAUUUCAGGGGGCCCAUUAUAUCUUUCUGUGCUUUCAUAGUUAUAUAGUGAAAACACUGCAAACUUUUAGUUGGGGGUGCCCAUAUCUAUAUUAUUUUUAUAUUUGAUUCUUGGGUCUGUAUUAUUUAAAUAUUUAUUUGGAUAAUUUUGUAUUUUAUUUGGAUGAUUUGUGUUUGAAUUGCUAUAGAUGAUUUUAUAUUAUGGGUUGUAAUAUUGGGCAUCCUGAUGGUGCCUGUGUUUCUUGGAUUUAAUUGCUUUUGUUUAUAACUUUUAGAUUUUUAUUUCUCUUAAAAAUACGUUUUAUGAGCCUUUUGAUAUGACUAAUUGAGUGACGACAUUCGUAAGAGAAAAUUAUCGUGUUUGGGUUUUGGGCUACAGAUUUAGGUGAAGUCUGAAUACCCGUCUAGUUAUAUAUUAGAAUUACAAUUUUUCCUAUGGUGAAGUCUGAGUAUCUAUACGUUUUACAGUUAUGAAAGCCAAAAUAAAAGAUGAUAGAUUACUUUGGUCCUAAUGAUAGCCAUAUUGCAUGGUGAGAUACGAAACUAGCAUCCCGCUCCAUUCAUUUUUUUUUUCAAAAUCAAGGGCAUGAACGUAAAUGAUUUCUUAAAACACUUUACCUCUUUUUGUGACUCCAAAUUCUUUAGUAGGCAGUGUGUGGUAAUUAGCUCCUUUUUUCUUAAGUAGGGAGUGCAAUAGAUCUUUCUAGAAAAGUUUUCAUACCAUGUGCAGUGAUCUUAGUUGAUUGAUUCUCAUGCAUACUCGUGUUAUCUAGAACUUGCCUUAUUGGGUUUUUAAAUGUAAUUUUUACCACACGAGGUUGGAGGAAUGAUCUUCAGUAUUCAUUGUGAUCACAGAGAUCCACUUUAGCCUAAAACGCCUACCCAUUCACAAAUAGUAUCCCUAAUCACCCCUUUUGAGCUUUUGAACCUUUCUUUUGACACCGCAUUACUAUCCUUGAACCUUUUGUAAUUCAUUCCUCUUUUGGACCCUACCCUCUGAUGAGUGGUGUUUUUACCACUGAUUCAUACUUAUUAUUCGUGCACAAUUCCUUGAUUUGAAUGCAUAAAUGAGACAAGCAUAUGGUUAGAUACACUAAUAUCCACUUGAUGGAGGUAGAAAAGCUAAGGAGGUCAAAAUAUAUUCAUUAGAGCUAAAAAUGAUAAAAAGGAAUCAUAGAAGAGUGUAGAAGAAGACCUGGAUUGCAUCAGCCCCACUUACCACGACCAUGGUUAUCUAGCUGCGGUCGUGGUGAGUCUAGAUGGUCAGAGCAAUGCAAUCACAAAAUAUAACCAUAGUUGUCUAGGUUUGGUCACAGUCAAAUACACGUGAUUAUAGAUCAGUGAGAACUGGCCCAAGGGAAGAAUUGUAAGAUGUCAUGGACAAAUCCCAAAUUAUAUAUAAGCAAAAACCCUUUCUUUUUUCGGUAUUGCUUGUCGCAUAGUAUAGUUUUUAAUUUUAAGCAUGAAAGCCUAAUUGCUCAAGUGUGUAAUCAACUUUGGAAAUUCAAACUUCUUAGUUUCUUGUUGACGAAUGAAUGCAUUAGUUGACCCACAUGGUAUAUCUCUCUUUACUUUCUUCAUGAGUAGCAAAGUAAUUUGGUCUUGGGAUUAUGUUUAAUUAGUGUGUAAUUGUGUGUGGGUAUUGUUGUGUUUGCAUGGAUUUUUGUUGUUGAGUCUGGAUUCCACUAUUGUUUGAGCUUACGAGUUUUGAUUUUAUGGGUGAAAACUCCGAAUUUCCAAAUAGGUUUGAUAGGUGAAAACUCCAACCUAUAGAAACCCUUUGUCAUCCUUGAAAGAGGGACUUAGGUGAUUAUUAGGUAACCUAUAAUAUCCAUGAAAGAGCGUUAUUGGGGGACAUGGAAAUGGUGAACAACUAAGUCUAUGGUUUACUACCCUUUGCAAUUUUAGAAAUAAGUGUUUAGGAAGUGUAAAUCAUGUCAAGAGCAUCAUCCUAGAAAUAAAGAUGCUUGGUUGAGGUAUUGGGUGGUUACAUAAAAUCCACACUUAUUAAAAGAUUGACCUCAAUGAUAUUCGACCUAGCCUAUACAUUAAUUAAAAAUUAAAUCCCAUGAUAAACCAACAUUAUCCCACAUACGUUAUGCCUAAGGAGACAUAAUGCGAAGAAUCCUCCAAACUAUGAUUUUAAACCAUAGACAACAUUCACUCUGUACUGGUUAAAGUUUACAUGCAUAAUUUUCAACAAAUCCCCCCAUUUACUUAUAUGUGUUGUUUCUAUUAGCAUUCCGGGUAACCUUAUACUAACUUUAGUACCCAUAGGUGGAAGUCUAUAGCAUUCACUCCUUAAGAUUUGACCCCAAUUUAUAUUGGGUUACUUGACAAUGACCCCAUAAAUUGCUGUAUUUUGCAUCAUUUAUACCUGAAACUUUCCUAAUCACAUUUGUUAGCUCAUUUACAGGAAAAAGGACUAAAAGUGUACGAAAUAGAUAAUUAGUUCUCGAAACUAGGCUAAAAUAUGGGCAAAAUAUAUUGAUAUAGGCGCGUAAUUUCGCCUAUCAUCAAGUUAUGAGAAAUGAUGCAAGUAAUUUUGGCCCCUUUGAUACUCUACUAGAUGAUGAGGGCCAAUUAAAUAAAGCUGGGCAAACAAGUGUUAUUUUCAUCCCACCAAUCAACGGAAAUGGUGUAUUUCAUGUGACCAGCGUUAUGCUUCAUAUGAUAAAAAUCAAAGGAUUAUAUGGGGGUCAAGCAUAUGAGGACCCAAAUAUUCAUUUGAAAAACUUUGUGGAAGUUUGUGUACCUUUUAAUAUAGCGCAUAUUACACAAGAAUCCAUCCAACUUUGAAUCUUCCCAUUUUCACUAAUGGCUGAGGUGGUUUUAUGGCUCUGCUCACUUCGACCCGGAUCAAUCACCUCUUGGGAGGAGCUCACCAUGGUUUUCCUUGAUAGAUACUUCCCACCAUAAAAAAUACUUCAAAAGCGGGAGGAGAUUUUAAACUCUUGGAAAUUGAAUGGAGAACCAUUGUUUGAAGCGUGGGAGAGGUUUAAUGGAAAACUAGACCAAUGCCCAAAUCAUGAGGUCCCAGAUAAGAUGUCCUUGAGAUUUUCUAUAGUGCUCUUUAACCAUUAAACAAAACGGUUGUGGAUAAUACGGAGGGUGGAUCUAUUGUAAAAUUGCAUCAUUUUGCGGCUUUUCAAUUGAUAGGUGAAGUAUCUAAACAAAAAUUGGUGGUGGCACACCCGUGAUGCCGAUGCUUCUGAAACCCCUUAUACUACCUCCGUGCUGACCAAUGAGCAAAGAAAAUUAGAAGAGGAGAAGGAUGAGCACAUAUCUUAAGAUGAUUACCCAACAUGAACUUCUAACCAAACAUGUCAUGGGAUUACCCGCGAAAGCUGUAAAUGCCAUAACAUCAAAGCCUUCUUAAGAAAAUGAUGAGGCAAAUAAGUUAGAUGAAGAAAUUUGGUACUUGGAAAACUACUAACGGGGUUCCCGCCUCGCUUAUCAAAGGCAAAGUAGGAAUCAAGGUUGUAUAGGUCGAGACUGAGAUAGAGAUUGGAGAAAUAGGGAAUAUGACUAUGACCUCUACAUUCCUCCUCAUGAUAGGGCUAAGGCCAAGGAGUCAAAUGUCAUUGACCCUGAAAAGUUCGAGACCAAAGAUAUUUUGGCACAAAUAUUGAGUAGAGUUAAAGAUAUGGACAAAAUGAUCCAUAAUUUAAACGGUGACUUAUUCGUACUCUCCCAAAUGGUGGUGUCUCACUCUAAAUCCAUCCAACAAUUGGAGAUCCAAGUCGUGAAAAUCUCCAUACAACUAAAUGCAAUGGCUAGAGGUUGACUUUUGAGUGACAUAAUUGCUAACCUAAAAAAGGAGCAUAAGUCCUAGAAAUUGUCACUAAAAGUGGGAAAACACUUGAAGAGCCCCUUAGAGGAGAGGAGAGUGAAAAUAUGCCCAAGGCCAAGGCAAAGGAGUUGACAUCCAAAGAAGAAAAUCAAAUGAUGAGGAAGAUCUAGAUAAAAGCGAUGAGGAAGUAGUCCAAGGUUAAAAGCAAGGAUAAGCAAUGCCAACAAUCCAUGUUCCUCCCCCAUUCCCUCAACGAUUGUAUAAAAAGGAAGAGAGAAACAAAUUAAUGAAAUUUAUGGCAAAACUUAGCAAUCUUUCUAUAAAUAUCCCACUACUCAAGGUGAUUCAAGAGAUUUCAGGAUAAGCUAAGUUAAUGAAGAACUUAAUGUACAAUAAGAAGCUCGUGAGGGUGAUACCAUUGAAAUUACUUAUAGGUGUAGUUCUAUCAUGGAUAGCAAAGUUGCGGGAAAUCAAAAUGAUCCUUGAGCCUUCACUAUACUUACACCAUUGGUACUCAUGAGUUUGAAAAAGCUCUUUGUGACCUUGGUACAAGCAUCAACCUAAUGCGAUACGUCAUCUAUAAGAAACUUGGUUUGAACAAUCCUACACCAACCUCAAUGAGACUUUUGGUGGCGGACCGAUCUAUAAAAAGGCCGGCGGGUAUAUUGUUUGAUGUCCUCAUAAAGAUGGACAAAUUCAUUCUCUCAAUGAAUUUCAUUGUAUUAUAUUUUGAGAUGGACCAACAGGUGCAUAUCAUUCUUGGUCAUCCUUUCUUAUCCACCAAUAGAGCCAUUAUUGAUCUAGAGUUAGGGGAAAUGAAAUUUUGGUUGUAAGAAGAUGAGGUAUCAUUCAAAAUUUGCAAGUUAAAGAAUCGAACUAUGGAGGUCCAAGUAGUAUCCAUGAUGGAUAUUGAAAAUGAGACAGUUAAAGAUGAGGGGUUUGAGGACCCAUCGUGAUAUUAAAAGAUGAAAGAUGUCAUUCCACGAUGAUAACUAAGGCACUGGGGAAGGCAACCGACAAAUGCCAUGAGAAUGGCUCGUAUCCUUUUUUGUUAUUUUCUCAUAGUGUAGAUAUUGUAUUUUGCAUUUAAAUAACCCAUGCAUUUGUGGCACUUUGGAUUGCAUUGAAUGAGUUUUGAAAAAGGUAAAGUGUCAAAGUUUACUUUGAAAAUUUGAGCAGGAAAAUUCUGUGAAAAUUGAGUAAAAUGCUGAACAGAGAAAAACAAGGGAGCAAAAACUACUCUCAAUUAUUAUGAUCAUGGCCACCGUGCACGAUCUCGGCUAUAAGUGUGUCCAAGGUUGCGGCCCUUGACCGUGGUCGCGGUCAUUUAAGUCAUUUAACCCCUAGUAUCCUUUAUUUCCUUUACACUCCCUUUUCAAGAUUUUAGUCUCAAAUCUAAGCUAUAUUAUUGGGAAAGUUGUAAGCUCUCGAUUAGACUUCGUGUACAUCCCUCUUGUAUCUUAACUCCGGUAGGUGACAUGAACCCUUUCUUUCAUUUGGGAAAAUAGGCCACUAAGCGCAUGAUUAUGAAAGGGCUUAAUAUUUUAAUUAUUAUGCUUUACAUGUUGUCAUACUUAUUAUUGUUAUGGUAUUGGUUAUUUAAUUGAGGUGUGCAGACAAGUGGGCAAACCCUGAUUACCUAUUAGUAUGUAUGGUAGACAGAUGUGAUAUGCACCCUUUGUGUUUAACAAAUUGCUCAAAUGAACUUUCAAUAGUGGCAUUUACAAUUGAGGGGGACAUUUACACACACCAGUAGCAUUGUUCACAUGACCUUUAUUUGUACCCAUAUUAUAGAACAUACUGGUAGUCUAGAAUUGGCAGUAAGUUAAAUAUAUAGAACAAACAUGGAACCAACCUCAGGUGUUACAAUCGCGGUUAUAGACUGCGACCACUAUAAUAUGGACACAGCUCUUAUUCUACGAUUGCGGUAACUGAUGGCAGGUUCCUAUAGUUUUAAAAAUCCUGUACUCCCAAUUAUUAGCCAGGCAACCCCAAGCACCUAGUCCAAUAAUCUGUAAGGAUCAAUCUAGAACAACUUGCAUGAUUCAUCUGACAUUAAAAGAUAUACUGUGUGUUUAGUGCUUUUAGGACAACCUUAUGGAUAAGUUUGAUCAGAUCAGAAUCAUCGCACCCUAAUGCCCCACUCACUACUACAGAGAUCUUUUAAAGACAAAGUAGUUGUUAGAAAGAGGAAUUUUUUUGGAGAAGCUACCGACUUUUCACAACAAACUUAAAGCCACAAGGUGGAUGUGAUUUUACCCAGAUCUAUGCCUUACAAAUGAGCAAUGGGUCCAUGAACUUUACUCUAAUAUUAGUGAAGUAUCAUUAUCAAACCCACUUAAUGUUUUUGUAAAGAUGCGGGGGAAACCGGUGUAAGUUAGGGCUAAGAAAAUCAAUGAUAUUUAUGGGCUCAACUAGGCAAACAAGGGUGAAUUCAAGGUGAAGGGGUGUAAAUCAGGGAAAUGGUUGGCACAACGGCUAUGUCUUGAAAAGGAAGUCUCACAGACCAAAAAUAAAAGCAACAUCUCCAUGAAUGACUUCACUUUCAAGGGUUGGAUAUAGUUGCACAUCAUUUGUAGCUGAGUGUCUCCUUUCACCCAUAUGAUGAAAGUCCCUGAAUUACAUGCUUGGAUUGCUUGUAUUCUAGACAACAUCUCUUUCGAUGUUGGGCAACUCGUGGUCAAUGAAAUAGAUUAUUUCAAAAACCAUAGUGGUUCAAAUCUCUUUUACCAUUCUCUAAUUAUUGAGCUGUGUAAGAGAGUAGGGGAAUAUACAAGUGAUACGUGGGUGCAUCCUAAUUCCCUCAUCUAGCCAUUGAGGAUUCGAGGAGAGGGCACACUAGGAAAAAGAAAGAAAAAAAUAUCAACUUAGAAGAUCCAACAUGUAGCGAACCUGAGCCUCAUAGGGAAAGCACUAUGGGACCUCUUGAAGAGAUUUGAGUUAAUAUUUUAACCAUUAAAUAUCUUGUGGCUAGCUUCCCUCAAGGGCUAGGAGAGCCCUCCGCCACCCAUAACUCAUAUGUGUCACAUGUCGAUUAUGCUGAGUAUAAAGAGGACCAAAAGAAGCAAAAAGUUACUAUUGAUCAACUUGAGAAAGCCUACUCCUAUUUGGUGGCAUCAAAGAGGGAUCUUUUGAGUGCACAUGAAAACAUGAUCGGUUGGGAGAAAAGAGGGACUAGUUCUUUACCAAGAUGUUGAAAGGGGUGAAGGGUCUAUGGAAGGUUCCGAAGUCCCAAAGUAGGCUUCCUACUUCUUGAGUGGACAGUGUGAUGAGGCCAGAUCGAGUCGUCAGAUCUUGAGGAGGAUGGUGAUGAUGUAGGGUCUGUGAGUGAUAGAAGCCCUUGAUGCAAUUUUAGAGAGCACCCUUAUCUCUUCUACCCUUAAUUAUUUAUGUAGUAGGGACACUUCUACCUUUUUUGUUAGGGGUGUUUCCUUAUUCAUGACAUUUGGGUCUAUAUUAUUGAUAUUUCAACAUACUUCUUUGUUGUUUUGGGUAAUCUUUACCUCUAUUUUUAUUGGAGUUGUAAUAUUUAGGCACUCUAAUGGUGCCCACAUUUUCAAGGACUAGUUACUUUUUUAUUUAAGUUGGCCGUUUUAGUUUGAAUUACACUAGAUGAGUCUUGCCAUUAUGAUUGGGUUUCUAUCAUUAUGUGUAGGGGAAGUCUAAGUACCCAUGGAAUUAAAGCUAUAAAUUGCAAGAGAAGUCUGAGUACCUGUAGCAUUGAUGAUUUGUUAUCACAUCAAUAUCCAUUGGUGAAGUUGGGGUAACCCUAUAGGAAGUUAGCCCGCACUAUGAUCCACAAUAUGAGACUUUGGAUUGGCUUUUUGCCAUAAUUAGCAAAUUAUGCGAGGUGCAGAUACAAAGGCAAACAACCUACUUCAUCCAAAUUUUUUUUUACAUAAUUUGAAGGCAUGGACGUGAGCAACAUUGUAAUGAUAUUUUCCUUCUUUUUAUGACUCUGAGAGUUGACGUUGAAAAGUUAAUGAAUACCCAUCUUUAUCUCGGACGUGUACAAUAAUUAAACCCUCUUGACGGUAUUCGCAUGCCAUGUGUGUAAGGUUUAUUAUAUUCAUGUCUUGUGUACUUGUUCUAUAAAAACUUUCCCCUCGAGUGUUUCAUAGCUAAUUUAGAUUGUACUUAGUUAGAGAAAUGAUCUUAGACCAUCUUUGUGAUUCUGGUACCCACUUUAGCCUAAAAAGCCUACCCUUGCAUAAGUGUAAUCCUUCGUACCCGCUUUGAGCCUUUAGACCUUUCUUUGGAAAACACAUUCCAAGAAAUGAACCAUUCUUUUUAUCCCUUUUUUGAACCAUACCCUUCUUGAACAUCAGAAUGUAAUUUGAGACAAAAAUCCUAAGUUGCGGAUGGAAAGGAUUGAAGGAAGAAAGUUUUGUUCCACAAAGAGUUUGUGUAUGCCUAAUGUGCCUAUGUUUUUAAGAGAAGAAAAUAGAAUAGGAAAGGACUAAAUAAAGAAAAGAUAGCUUUAGAAUUUCAAGAAAAUGAGAUAAAAGAAGUUGGGUGAUCAAAGGAACCAAAAAAGUAGGCAUGGUAAGAGAAAGAAAGCAAAGAGAGUGGCCCAUAUUUAUAGAGAAAAAGAAAGAACUUUGAAAAAUUUGAUGUAGAUCUUCAAGGAAGGGUGUAGCCAUGUUUUUUCCAAAAUGAUAUCCUACCCUACCCCAACCUUACGUUACAAGCUUUGAAAGUCCUUUGAGAUCUCCAACUGCUUUUCUUCUUUCUAGUGGCAACUGAAAGUUGGGGCUAGCCUAUAUUAUGGUGCUUGUCAACAUGGAGAACUUUUUGAGAGAGAAAGGGCUUGCACUUAAAGUUCCUUGCUGCAUGAUUGGUAACUAGGUGUGUGAAAUUUUUCUUUCUCAUGAGGAGGCAUGUGAUCUAGUAAGGUGGAUAAUUUUUCCAUCUCUCAAGGAAUGAGGUAAAUGAGGGUGUAGCAUGCAAGUCAUUUUUAAAGUGUUAGUAGUUGUUACAUGGUUGCUCAACAAAGUCUUUUGCAUUCUUGGCUUUUCCACUUUAUAAUUAGGGGAGUGGCUAGAAACUUAUUUUUCUAUGUGAGAAAAGCUUUUCAUAGUGACACUUGAGUUAAGUUAUCAUGAUCAUUGAUUUAUAGAAUGAGGACACAAAUUGUCUCAUAAUAUAGGGGAAAUAUUGCUCAAGGGAAAGCAAGUUCUUAAGUUGGGGUGUUGAUGAAUGGUAUUUUUACCACUCAUUCAUACUCAUUAUUCGUGCACAAUGCCUUGAUUUGAAUGCAUAAAUGAGACAAACUUAUGGUUAGAUGCACUAAAAUCCACUCGAUGCAGGUAAAAAAGCUAAGGAGGUUAAAAGAUGUGGUUUGGUGAUGAAAAUUAUAAAGAGGAAGAAUAGAAGAGUUCAGUCAAAGAUGUGGAUUGCAUCAGCCCCGAUUACCGCGACCGCAGUUGUCUAGCUAUGGUCGCAGUCAGUCAAGAUGGUUAGAGGAAUGCAGUUACAACAUAUAAUUGUGGUCCUGUAGGCGUGAUCGCAGUCAAAUACAAGUGAAUACGAAUCAACUUGAACUGGCCUAAAGGCAGAUUUAUAAAAUGUCAUGGACGAAUUCCAAAUCAUUAUAAGAGAAAACCCUUUUUUCUUUAGGUAUUGCUUUUCUCAUAAUAUAUUUUUGAAUUCUAAGCUAGAAACCCAAAUUGGGCAAGCCUGUAAUCAACUUUGAAGAUUCAAACUUCUUAGCUUCUUGUUGAAGAAUGAAUGCUUUAGUUGACCUACAUGGUAUAACUUUCUUUACUUUCUUCACGAGUAGCUAAGUAAUUUGGUAUUGGUAUUAUGUUGAAUUAGUGUGUUAUUAUGUAUGGGUAUUGUUGUGCUUUCAUGGAUUUUGGUUGUUGAGUAUGGAUUUCACCAUUGUUCGAGUGUAUGAGUUGGGAUUUGAUGGGUGAAAACUCCAAACUUCCAAAUGGGUUUUAUGGGUGAAAGCUCUAAGCUCUAGAAACCCUUUAUAAUCCUCAAAAGAGGGACUUAGGUGAAUAUUAGGUAACCCAUGACGUCCUCGAAAGAGGGUUACCGGAGGACAAGGAAAUGGUGAACAACUAAGUCUAUUGUUUACUACCCUUUGCAGUAUUUGAAAUAAGUGUUUAGGAAAUGUAAAUCAUGUUAAGAGCAUUAUACUAGAAAUAGGGAUGCUUGGUUGAGGUUUUGGGUGGUUACAUAAACUCCACACUUACUAGGUGCUCGAAAGAGCCAAUGGGUGAAAUUGUUGUGGUUUCAUUAAAAGAUUGACCUCAAUGAUAUUUGACCUAGCCUAUAAAUUAAUUAACAACUAAAUCCUGUAAUAAACCAACAUUAUCCAACAUACAUUACCUCUAAGGAAACAUAAUCCCAAGAUUCCUCCUAACCUUGAAGUUAGACCAAAUAAAGCAUUCACUCUGUACGGGUUAAAGUUUGCAUAUAGAAUUUUUUUACAAAUCCCCUCAUUUACUUAUGCUUGUUGUUUCCAUUAGCAUUCUACGUAACCUUAUAGUAACUAGAGUACCAUAGGUUUGAAGUCUAUAGUAUUCACUUCUUAAGAUUAGACCCUAAUUUUUCAUUAGUUUACUUGACAACGCGCCUCAUCCUUCAAAUAUGGGAGUGAUUUUAGUGUUAACACCCUCCUUGAAGUUUUAAAUGCACCUUGAGGCCAAAAGCCUAAGUUGGGCGUAGUGAAUUUUAAAAGAGGUGAUCUUGGACCAUGGUAUCAUAAGUGAAUUCCUAAAACCUUAGCAAUAAGAAAAAAUGAACGAGAAAAAGAAAGGGAUCAGUAGAAGAAAGAAAUGUAUGAGACUGCACAAAGUAAACAAACGUGAAGAAAACUGCUUGUAAAAUAUUGAUGAGCCAAUGUGGUAAAAGUAGGCACAUGUUUAAACUAGGAAUGAAUGAAGUGGCCCAUGACCCAAAGUUUGAUCUUAUAAUGUAUUGUGUGGAGUUAAAGAAGGGUGUAGUCAUUUUUAUCCCAAAUGAUUAUCCUACCCUUCACUGAGCCUAAAUUAUAAGCAUGAAAAAGUCCUCCGAGAUCUUCAAUCAGACGUUCUUUAGUUAGUACCUAUUGAAAACAAGGGCGAACAUAUGGCAAUAUACUUAUGUGUAUUGAGAAAUUUUUUAUGAGUGUGAGUGCUUGCACAUUUAUCCUUUAUUAAUGAUAGGAAUUAUGAUGUAUUAGGACUUUUAUUCAUAAGAAGGCAUGUAAACUAAUAAGGGUUCAUGAAGUUGUCAUAUUCCAAAAAAGAGGCCAAGAAGUGUAGCUAAGUCACUAUUGAAGUAGAGUCACUUCUAGAGAGUUAGUGGUUGUCGCCUCAUUGUUCUUAAAACUCUUUUGCAUUAUUUAAAAUAUUAUUUAUAGUGAGGAGAGUUUCAAUAAUAGUUCUUCCCAUAGAAAUUGUUAGUGCUAAUCGAGUUUAGAAUCAUGGUGAUAAUUUGGUUGUAAGAAUGGGGUUAUAGUUGAUUAGUUUCAUUAAGUGUUGUGUAGUGUUGCUUGAGACAAGAAAAGUUUUAAGUAGGGGUGCUGAUGAGUGAAAAAUUUGCCACUCAUAUAUAUCCAAAUUUGAGCACACUAUGAAGAAAUAAUUGUGUAUAUGAGGCUAAUUAUCUACUGAAAUGCACUAAUUUCUAGUGGUGAUGAUCUUAAAUAAACCUAAUGAAAAUGAGUUGAUACAAAUUUGGAAUAGAUAUAAUGAGAGCAAGAGGAGCCAAAGUUGAAAAUCAAGCCCAGGAGUUGACCUUCAGGUGUCGCGAUCACAGCCUAUGAGUCAUGAUAGCGAUCAGUCAACCAGUCAAAUGAGGGAGAUCGUGAGGUAACCAGUGCGAUUGCAAAUCCAUGAAAGCAAACAAGGAAUGUUGAUUACGAUAGGAUGGAAAAGUUUUAAGGGCAGAAGUAUAAUUUCACUGGACUUAAUCCCAAAUCAUAUGGGGCUAAACCUUUUCAUAAUAUGGGCAUCAAUAUCUAAUUUUGAGUUUGGAGAGAAAAACACUCUAAUUUUGAGUUGGGAGAACAAUUUUCAUUCCAAGACAUUUUGGUAGUAAAUUGAGAUUGAUGUUUUUUUUAACUCUUAUUUGAAUUAGUAUGGAUCAAUUUCAUGCUAAUUUAGGUAUAUCUUCUCCCUUUAAUUUCAUGAGUAGCUAAAUCAAUAUCUUGGGGUCAUGUUUGAUUAGCUAGUGAACUAUGUGUGGGUGUUGAUUGAUAGUCUUAAUAAUUGGUUAAUAGUGAUGAGUUCUACAUUUACUCUAUGGUUCAAUUGAGAAUUGUGGGUGAAAACCCCAAUUGUCUUGGAUCCCAUAUCAUCCUUGAAAGACGGAUGUGGGCGAAGAGUUAUUGUAAAUAACUCCAUGCAUUAGCUUCUUUGUUUGCACUAUCUUAGUACUAAGGGUAUUAGUUAAAUUAGCUAUGUUCAGAAGCAUCAUCUCACAAAUAAGGCUGUUAAGUUUGUGGUCAUGGAUUGGUAAACUUGUCAUACUCUUGAGCUAUUCAAAAUAAUUAAUGAGUGAAAUUUAGUGUCUUAUAGAAAGGUUAACACUAAGACCCUUAAUUUAGCCUACUGAAAGUCCUUAUCCAAAACAUGGACUAACUCUUGAUUAUCCAUGCAUGACCAUUACUUAGAGAAACAUAACCCCAAGAUCCCUAUUAUCUUGAUAAAUCUAAUAAUUGUUCAAACCCAUAUUAGUGUGAUUUGGUUAUUGUGUUCAACAAAUUUCAACAUUCAAAUCCCUCAAUUUACUUUCAUGUUUUGUUUUAGAUUUGCAUUAUAGGUUAACACAUAGUUAACUCUCGGUACACAUAGGUGUUGAAAGGUAACUUGUGCUGCUCAAGGAUUAGACCCAAUCUUGUUGAGUAAAUAUUGAUAAUGACCGCCUUGCAUUAAAAUAAUGGUUUAAGUUGAGCAUUAUCAUGCAACCCUUACGUAAAAGAUCCUGAAUCUUAGAAUUCAGCACCAUCAUAUCAAAAAAAGCCAUUCAGGAAGUUUACAUAGAAGUAGGUUAGGUACUCGGCUCAAGAUCAAUAACAAACUUAAUAUCAUGCUCUGGAGGAAGGCCAAGUAGAUCUGUUGGGAAAAUAUUAGGAAAUUCGUGAACUAUAGGAAUAGAGUCAAGCGACAGACUUUUCACCUAACAUCACAAAUAUAUACGAGAUAAGACUCGUAAUCCCUUAAAAUAAGCCUCCUAGCCAAAACAUAAGAAAUAAUCCCUAUCGGGCCGUGGCUAAUAGAUACCUGGUAUAGAAUCAGAGGGGUGCAUAAGUCAGCAUAGGUAAGGUAAUAAUUUUAACAAAACAAUCUAGGACCAUAUAAUACUAAGAUAACUAGUCCAUGCCCAGAAUUGCAUCAAAUUAUACCAUGUUUAAUAUAAUAAUAUCAUCCUAAGUAUCAAACUCUCGAACAAUCACAAUACAUGAUAUAUACACCUGAUCCACUACUUAAGAAUUGUCUAUGAGAGUUGAUACAUAUAAUGGCAUAGAAAAAGAAUCCCAAGACAACUAUAACUUUGAAGCAUACAAACACUAAAAAAUUAGUUGAUCACACAUCAAAUAAAUAAAAAGUUGGUUGGCAGUACACCAAAAUCAUACAUGUUAUAACAACAUUAGAAGUCUCAGCAUCGAGUUUAGCAGGUAUGGCAUACAACAGACCAUGCCUGCCAUCUGGCUGGGCUAUUGACUAUUCUCUUAUCUUACCCGUUUGAGGACCUCCAUAAGUACCUUAGAGACCACCUCGAUGGACAUACGCACCACCUAUAGCUGGGGGCAGAACUACCAUAAUCAGUGGAACAAUCUUAGCUAAAUUGAUUAUUUGUCCAUAACUGGGCACUCUAUAGAUAAAAAGCUAGAGGCCUAAAAACCAUAACAUGCCAUGGCACAAAAGUAAACCAAAAAGAUUUGGCUUACCUGCAAUAAACACCAUGGCUAGAAUAACCUAAAGAUGAACCCCUUGGAGGCUGACCACUUGACAAGCCAAGAUGAUUAUUAAAACUAGAUUGUCCUCUAUUGUUGAUCUAAAGAGUGGCAUGAACGAGACUACUAUACUCUGAUACAGAUAAGGCUAAAGUAGAGGGUACAUACCCUGAGAACUACUUUGUCUGAACUGUGAGCCACUACGGCUCCUAUUGAAGCUUUCUUAAUAGCGUGUCCUCUUAUCACUUCCCCUUGGGCCUUGUGAUGCAUUUCCAACAUAACCUGAGCAUGAUUAGAAACCUCAUCAAUAGAAGUACUAGUAAUAACUAGACUAUAUGUAGCCCUAUAUAGAGGAAGUCUCAAUCCUAGAAUAAAGCAUUGAACCCACUUAUUGUUGGUUAGUCAAAAUAGAUAUGGCUUGCCUAGAGAACUCAUUAAAUUCAUUCUCAUACACCCCAAUAGUCAUGGAUCAUUCAUCAAACAUGGGGAAUUGAUCCCUCAAACACUUACUAAAGCUAUGAGGCAUAUAUAUCUCUAAGAAGACCUUAGAGAAUUGAACUCAUGUCAUAGGAGGUGAUCCAGCUGGCCUAGAACAAAGAUGACUUCUCCACCAAUGUUGAACUUCUAAAUUUGACUAAAAAGUAGUGUAUUCCAUACCAUGAGUGUUAAUGAUUUCCAAAUUAUAGAGCUUAUUCUCACAAGUAAUUAGAAACUCAUAAGCAUCCUCUCCUAGUGCACUAGAAAAUAUAGGUGGAGCCAAUAUCUAUAAUCUACCUCAAAUUUUCUGCACCAUCAUAAACAUAGUAGUCUAGGAACCACCAAAUAAGCAACUACCAAAUGAGAAACCACUGAUAUAGGAAGGACCUUAACUCUAGGCGUUGCAGCUACAAGUUGUGACCCUACCUUAGUACCACUCUAAUCUAUAGACGGUGUACCAUCAGAAGGUACACCUCCAACCAAUCCCAAAAGCUAAACCAAUACAUCCAAAUGUGUUGAAGAAGGAAUAAAACUCGGUGGACCCAGGGUUUUUCCCUAUUCUACUAUUAGCUGAGGUAGAGGAAUCUCUCGCUCAGGAGUGAGAAUAGGGUCCGAGAAGGCCACCUAUCCUUGUACCUUAUUGCGACUACAUCUGCAGGCUGCCAUCGACCUCUAGGUGAUCCAUGAACUAUAACAAGAUCUCUAGGCAUAGGAUUAGGGUCCUAAUCUCGUAUAGCAGUAGCAUGUGUUAUAGCCAUCUAUGUAAGAGUGAAACCAAAGGAAUCCUUGAAAACCAACUCAAACUCUUGGCACAAAAUGAGUAAAAGAAGUGAAGAACUCAGAAUAAUGUCCUAUAGCCUCCCAAAGUUAAGAACUCAAAAUAAUGUCCUAUAUAUGACUCUACUAGACACUAUCUCGUAUUCUAAUAAUACUGCUAAACCUAAAGAUCUGGUACUAAUUUUUUGUGACCCGAUUUAUGAGUCAUGAUGGAACUUACUUUUUCCCAUUAAUAGGUAAGACAAACUGUAGCUUGAGCAAGAAAUAAUGGGGUAAUUAGGCAGGUAAGUAAUAACAAUAGUAUGAAAAAUAGAGAAACAUAAUAGUAACAUCCCAUGACCAAGUUGAGUUGAUUAAUGAGUGGUGAUUUUACCACUUAUUUGCACUUAUUUUUCAUGCACAUUACCUUGUCUAAAAUGUGUAAAUGAGUCAUAAUUGUGAUUAAAUGCACUAAUAUCUACUCGUUACAGGUAUAGUCUCUAUCACAAACCUCGUUAUGAUAAUUUGAGUUAAACAGGUAAACUUUGAAGAAAAGUAAGUGAAUCCGAUAUAUGGGAUCCCAAAUGUUGACAUGAGGCAGUUUUACGCAAGGGCAUGUGCACCUGGAUCUUGGAUGGACAAUAUUUUAUGCCCUGAUCAAAAAGUUACUAGGUCCAUCACUAAGAAAGACAUUUUAAUGAAGGAUUUCAAAGUAGAGGCUAGACUUUUGUUAAACAUUAUAUGUAUUUGAAUAUCACCUUGCACCCAUAUGACCAAUGACAUGGACUUAAGAGAUUGAAUGGUGGCUUGCAUCUUGUUUAGCAUCCCUCUUAAUAUGGGAAAGCAUAAGUGGAGGAGUAUGUUGCAGAUACUUGGGUGUGCUCGGGCUUCAUUAACUAUCCACGCGAAUUCAGAAGAAAGGGUGCCCUAGAAUAGAGAAAGAAAAUAAAGAUAGAUUCUAACAAAGCAGUCUAGCAGGACCCAACAACAUGCAGACCCUCAUUAGCAAAUCCCCUAUUUUAUCAUUCAGAUAAAAUGAGAGUGGUCACAAAGUUAGUGUCCAGAUUACCUCAAGGUCCGGGAGAGCUCUCUACAGCCCGUUAUUCAUAUGUAAUGUCAUUUUACUAUCAAAAGUAAAUUAAGGAGCUGUUGAAAUAGGGAGACACCAUUUCUAACAAAGAGAGAGCGUACUUAGCCUUAGAAGGAGCACACAGAUACCUAAAGAAAUCACAUGAGAAGAUGGUACGAAGAGAGAAAAAGAGAAUCAAGCUCUUUAAAAAGUUGUGGAAGGGAGUAAAAGGCAUCUUUAAGGUGCUCAAGCCAAAUAAGAAAUUUCCUUCUUCAAAGCUAGAUAGUAAAGAUGAGGCCUCUACUAAUUGGUUAAUUGUCAAGAAUGGUGGUGCCAGGACAUAGUUUAAUAGCAAGAGAAGCUCUUGAGGAGGAUUCAGGAAGACACUUCUUACUCUUGAUUUAGUAUAGAUGUAGUGGGGACACCACAUUUUAUCUAAUUGGGUGUUGCCUCUAGAAUCAUGGUGUUUUAAUGACCCAAUGCUGGACAAUAUUUCUUUUAUGUUAUUAUUUUGGUAUAAAUCUUUGGAUAUUAUUUGUUUUAGGGAUUAUCAUGCUUCCCUCUUAUUUUUAUUAUCCUUUUGAUUUACUUUUAUUUUAUUCUCAUUAAUGCAUGACUAGCUUUGCCGAUGCUAGAUUAUGCGAUUAGAGUCUUAAGGGUAAAGCAUUGUAUUUAUGUUUUAGGCAUAAAUGCAGGGGAAUUCUAAGUACACAUAGCAUAAAUGUCACGAAAUGUAAGGGAAUUCUGAGUACCUGUGGCAUUUUAUUUUGUUUUGAAAAGUUGGGAUCACUUUAGACACCAUUGGCGAAGUCUUAGUAGCUAUAUGGUUAGCUCGCCCAUGAUUGAGCCAAGAUGUGAGACUAAGGCUUUGGUUGUAGCCAUCGCCAUAUGUUAGCAAUUUGUGCAUGGCGCUAUGGCAAACAAAGAAACCCCUUCCAUCCAAAAUUUUUGAAAAAUCUCGGGCAUGGACGUGAGCAAUGUUGUAACAAAUCCUUUUCUCUUUUUCUGAUUCCAUGAAUUUUUGACUUGAAAAUAGUGAUAAAUACUCCAUGAUUAUGUCCAUCAGGAAGGACAUUUGAGAUCCCAUAACGAAUUGUUAAUUUCAUGUGUGGUGAGAAUAUUGCAUUCAUCUUUUUUAUACUUAUGUUAUCUAGAACUUUCCCCAUUAGUCUUUCAAAACUAAUUUUGAUUGUAUUUGGUUAGAGAAAUGAUCUUAGGCUCUCUUUGUGAUUUUGGAACCCACUUUAGACUAAAAAGCUUACUCAUGCAUAAUUGCAAUCCCUGGUACCUGCUUUGAGCUCUAAACCUUUCUUUGGAAAACAUGUUAUAAGUCGUGAACCUUUCUUUUUAUCCCUCUUUUAACCAUUCCCUCCUUGAACUUUAAAAUGCAAUGUAAAGCAAAAAGCCUAAGUUGUGGGUGGUAAAAAUUAUUGGAAGUGAGUUUGGGACCAUGAAGUAUUACUGAAAAUGCGAAAUAUUCAUAAGUUUAGAAAAAAGAAAGGACCCAACAAAGGAAAUUUUUGCAUGAAAAUUGUAGAAAAAUGAAAUAAAAGAAAAUUUAUGAACAAAGGAAGCGGAAAGUAGUCAUAAGAAAAGAGAGAAAACAAAGUAGAGUGGCACUUAGUAAAAAAGGAGGAGUAUUGUAAAGUGUGAUGUAGAUGUUCAAAGUAGGGUGUAACCUAGUUCCCUAAAUAAUGUCCUACCCUAACCCUAACCUACAUUACAAGCAUAGAAAUUCCUUUGAGAUCUCCAACCAUUUACUUUGUUUGUAGUGGAGAUUGAAUAUAGGGGCAAGCCUAUGGCAUGACACUUGUUGCAUUGAGAUUUCUUUUUUGAGUGGAGAAUUUUGCACUUAAAAUUCCUUGUUACUUGUUCGGUAGUUUGGUGUGUGAAAAUUUUAUUUCUAGUGAGAUGGGCAUGCAAACAAGUCAAGGUGAGUGAUUUUUGUUACCUCCUGGAUAAUUAGGCAAGUAGAGUAUGGUUUAGUUUAAUUUGAAAGAUAAGCAAUUUCUAGAGUAUUUGUUUUCAUUAUUUGAUUACUCUUUAAAGUCUGAUACAGCCUGGAAUACUACAUUUAUAAUGAGGGGUGUUGAGAAAUUAGCCUAGCCUAAGUGCGAUAAGCUAUUUGGGGUUGCGACUCAAGUCAAGGUCGGUAUGGAAUUUAAGGCAUAAAAUAUGGGCAUAAAUGAUUGUGGCUCAUAGUAGAGAGUAGUGUUACUGGAGGAUAAGAAAAUGCUUAAGUUGGGGGUGUUGAUGAGUGGUGAUUUUACCACUCAUUUGCACUUAGUUUUAGUUCAUAUUACCUUGUCUCAAAUGAGUAAAUGUGUCAUAAUUGUGAUUUAAUGCACUUAUGUCUACUCUUUGCCGGUAUAGGAGUUUAACAGACAAAGAGAUGUGGAUUGGAGCUUGAAAUAAUCAAAAGGAGCAGAAAAAGUGCAGAUAAAGACCUGUAGUGAACUAGCCUCACUUACUGUGGUCACAGUCCAUAUAUUGCGGGCGUGGUCAGUCUAGAUGGUCAAUCAAUCACAACCGCGGUAGUCAAUCCCGGUCGUAGCCAGACUUGCGUGAUUGUGGCUUGGCGGAAAUGUUCAGCCCAAGGGCAAAACUAUAAUUCACGCAUUGAUCCCAAUUUUAACUAAAAGACUCAAACCCUAAAUUGAUGUAUCAUUCAUUUAAUCACAUUCCUUCUUCCCCAAUUUUUCUAGGUUUAGAUUGAUACUUUGUAGCCUCCAUUUUUUGAGAAGAAAAUGUUGUAUAAAUUAUUGGUGAAGAAUACAUUGAAGACUUUCCAAGUGGAAGAUUUUCUCACUUCCAUUGUUCAUAUUGUGGAGGAGCCAAGUUUGAAGUAACAUUUGCUUAGAUCUACAAAAAAUUAUUUCAAUGGAGAUUAUGGGUAUAUAUAUGCUUAUUUAUCUUAUGUGUAGCUAAAUCUCCCUCUUGGGGUAAUGUGUGAAUAACGGUCUAAGUGUGUGUGGGUUUUUAUUGCUAGUAUCUAUUUAUUAGUUCAUGUUUAUGGGUUCUAUUAUUGCUAUGCUAGUUUGGUUGGGAUAUGAUGGGUGAAAAUUCUAAACUACCCACAUGGGAUUUAUUUGUGAAAGCUCCAAGCUCUAAAAAACCUAAGGCUAUCUUCGAAAGAAGGGUUUUAGGUGAAGUUUAGGAAAUCAUAUCAUCCUUGAAAGAGGGACGUGAAGACCAAAGCAAUGAUAGACAAAUAUGUUUGUAGUUUUCUAAAUUCUCACUAUCUUAGAAAUAGGGCUGAAAGUGAGGUUGACUAUGCCUUUGGUGUCUUACUAGAAAUAGGGAUGCCUUGAUUGAGGUUGUGGUUGCUAAUUGUUGAACACAUCUAUUAGGUAUUCGAAAGUAUCAAUGGGUGAAAGUUUGGUCUUUUCUUGAAAUACUAGCAUCAAAAACAAUAACCAAACCUAGCCAUAUUUGACUUAUUAAAUCGAUGUUAAUGACUAACUCCCACUUGCCACUCCCUUAGUAAUGGAUAAUUCCAAGAUCCGCGCAUAGUUAUUCAAACUCUAAUUAUUCGUAGGCCCGAAUUUAUACUAGAAAAUCCCAAAAUGAAACAUUAGUUUAGGAACUCACCUCCGUCAUUUUAACUUUUUCUACCAUUUGAUUGAAAUUAACUUGUAACUAUUAUUUGAAAUUACUUUGAUAGCUACUCACUUUGUUCCUCGUGGAUUCAACGCUGACUUUAAAGUUGGGUAAAUAUAUUAAUGAUGAUCUCCUUUCACUCUAAUUGACGUGUAAGUUGAGCGUUAUUAGAAAUGGUUCCUUCAGAUCCUCAUACUCCCCAAUAGUCAUGGAGCCUUCAUCAAACAAGGAGAAUUAAUCCUUCAAACAAUCAUUAAAGCUAUGAGGCAUAUACAUCUCUAAGAACACCUUAGAGUAUUAACCCCAUAUUAUAGGAGGUGAUCCAGUUGGUCUAGAACAAAUAUGACUUCUCCACCAAAUUUGAACUGCCAAAUCAGACUUAAAAGUAGUGUAUUCCAUACCACGAGUCUUAACUAGUCCCAAAUUAUAGAGAUUAUUCUCACAAGUAAUCAAAAGCUCAUAAAAAUCCUCUCCCGGUGUACUAGAAAACAUAGUUAGAGCCAAUAUCUAUAAUCUACCUCAAAUCUUCUACACCUUAAUAAACAUAGUAGGCGAGGAACCACUGAAUAAGCAACUACCAGAUGAGAAACCACCGAUAUAGGAAGGACCUCAACUCUAGGGAUUGGAGCUACAAGCUGUGACCCUACUCAGUACCACUCUGAUCUAUUGACUGUGUACCAUCAGAAGGUGCACCUCCAACAAAUCCUAAGAGCUCAACCAACGCAUCCCUAUGUAUUGAAGAAGGAAUAAAACUCAGUGGAGCCAAGGUUUGUCCUUUUCCCACCAUUAUCUGAGAUGGAGUAAUCUCCCACUCAGGAGUGAGAAUAGGGUCUGGGAAGGCCACCUACCCUUUUCCCUUAUUGGGACUGCAUCUCUAGGCUGUCAUCAACCUCUAGGUCAUCUAUAAACUAUGAAAAUAUCUCUAUGAAUGGGAUUGGGGUCCUAAUCUCAUGUAUUAGUGGCAUGUGUCCUAGCCAUCUACGAAAGAGUGAAAUCAAAGAAAUCCUUGAAAACCAACUCAAACUCUUUGCACAAAAUGAGUGAAAGAAGUGAAGAUCUAAAAAUUAUGUCCUAUAGCCUCCCAAAGAUAAGAAACGAGCAUCAUCAUUCCUAUAAACGAGACUCUACUAGACACUAGCUCUUAUUGCAAUAAUACUAGUAAACCUAGAUAUCUGAUACCAAUUUUCACUACCCAAAGUAUGAGUCAUGAUGGAAAUUACUUUUUCCCAUUAGUAGGUAAGACAAACUGAAGCCCAGACCUAGAAAUAAAGGGGUAAUUAGGCGGGUAAAGGCAUGAAAGUCAGAGAUUUGCAAGUAAAAUCUUACAAUAAUAAUUUAAGUAAUAACAAUAGUAUGAAAGAUAGAUAAAAAUAAUAGUAACAUCCCACAACCAAGUAGUCUCGAUUGAUGAGUGGUGCUUUUACCACUUAUUCGCACUCAUUUUUCAUGCAGAUUACUUUGUCUCAAAUGUGUAAAUGAGUCAUAAUUGUGAUUUAAUGCACUAAUAUCCACUCGUUGCAGGUAUAGGAGUUUAAAAGACAAUGAGAUAUGAAUUGGAGCUUUAAAUGAUCAAAAGGGAGCAGAAAAAGUGUAGUUGAA
rnacentral:lncRNA from 1 species